rnacentral:lncRNA from 1 species
AAAAUGAAGUAGGAAAUAAAAGAAUGGUCGAAGAGAAAGAUUUAGAGAAGUUAAGUUACUUAGAUAUGGUGGUUCAUGAAACUUUAAGACUUUACCCUGUUGCACCCUUGUUACUCCCUCGUGAAUGUAGAGAGAGUAUAACAAUUGAUGGAUAUUUUAUAAUGGAAAAGACACGAGUUAUAGUAAAUGCAUGGGCUAUAGAGAGAGAUUCUAGUGUUUGGUCAGAAAAUUAUGAAGAAUUUCAUCCAGAAAGAUUUAUUGACAUGAAAAUGAAUUAUGAAGGACAUAAGUUUAAAUCUAUACCAUUUGGUUCUGGUCGUAGACGUUGUCCUGGAAUUGAAAUGGGUUUGAUCACAAUUAAAAUGGUUAUAGCUCAAUUGGUACAUUGCUUUAAUUGGGAACUUCCAUGUAAUAUUAGUCCUUCCAAUUUGAAUAUGGAGGAGAAAUUUAGAUCACUCUAUUCCAAGGGCUCAACACUUGCACGCAAUACCGAGUUAUCACUUGACAUGUGACAACAAGCAUGAUUAGGUUCAAGAAGGAAAAUGCUAUGUUUAAUUUGUAUUCGUCAAAAUAUUAUUAAUUACUAAAUACAUUAACUUUUUUUAAAAUUUAGAUCGAUUAAUAACUUGUCUUUGCGUCUGAUUUGCAGUAGGGAAGAGGGGUAUGUUAUUCAUAUUAUGCAUAGUUGUCCAAUGACAGUUUUGGCUUGGAACCACUUUGUAGAUAAUAAAUGGAAGCUUGUUUCUAAUAGGAAUUUGUUUUACAGAAUUGAGAUGAACUUUUAUAUUGGGUAAGCUUCGGAGUGUGCGGUUAUGGUGCUUAAGGAACCAUUUCCAUAGUAAAAUGGUUUUGACAUAAUUGGGUUGAGAUUUAUACAGGGUGCUGGAAACCAUUAAGUACAUCUAAUAGUUUUUGAGUAUAACUCACAAAAACCAUUUCUAAAUUUAUGCAGGAUCGUAAGGAUUUCUUUAUGCACCAUAACCACGCCAGCUUUAAAGUCAUUUGUUAUUUAUUGUUGAGGUGAAGAGAUAAUUUAGUGCAGUCCUCUUCAUGCUCUACUUGGGAUUUGAAUAAACUAUCAAUUAAUUCUUAAUUAUGACUCCAUCUUCAACUUAGUCUUUUUUUUUUCUUUUUUUUUUGAGAGAGUCUUCAACUUGUUCUUAAACUAUAUAAAUUUAGUCUUUAACAUAUACUCAUUUCUGUCCUUAUUAUAAAAAGAAAAACACUUGAUCAAAAAAAUAAAAAUAAAAAGAAAAACAAAAAAAAUAUCAAAACCAAUGCAAUCAUUAUUUAAUGUAACUUUUUUGAUAUUUUUACAAAUAUACUCUAAUAAAAAAUUAUAAAACAUUAAAUACACUCAUUAAUAUUAAAAAUAUAAACAUUAAAUAAAGGAGUAUUAAAACUUUUUAAACAAUAAAUACACCUUAAAAUUUGCCAAAAAAAACUACAUUUUAAAAGUUGUGACGUUUUCUUAUAAAUAUAACCAUUUAAAAAAAAAUUAUAAUAAGAAUAAGAGGGAGUAUAAAAUAUAUGUCAGUUUAGUCUUUACUCGUAGAAUUUUCAUUUACUUUAAGUAUUGUUAUGAAAUUAAUCUAAAGUAUGGCAAGAUAUUGUGCAACAUCGAAGAGUAGAGAGAAAAUGAUACAGGGAGAACAAAAGAGUAUAUUGUAUUGCUUUUCAAGUGUGUUUUCACACUAAAAUACGAGUAUUAUUUAUAGGAUACAAUCUGAGCAAGUGAAUGAUCAAAGUAAUUAAGGACCAGUAACCAUCCCUUCACUUAUAGGACUUAUAGGAAUGUGGAAGAUUAAGGAUGGACAUCCACUAAGUUAAUUAUUCAUAACACUCCCCCUUGGAUGUCUAUCAUGAUAUGCAUCGUUAAAACCUCACUAAACAAAACCCCGUUGAAAAAAAAUUCUAGCAAAAGUUCUUAAAUUCACUUGAUAGUGAAAUAUGAAACUCCCUGAAGGAUUUCAUAUGAAAGAUGUGUUACAAUUUAUAUAUAUGGCUCACUUGAUAGUGAAAUAUGAAACUCCCUAUAAGAUUUCAUAUUUCACUAUGAAAAAGUUCUUGAAUUCACUUCUGGUGAAUAUAUCUGUAAAGAAUAUAUGUCUUUUAAAAAUAAAUGGUAGACAUUUACCCAUUCCUUCUUUGAACUUUCAAGAUAUCAUUGGUAUAUUAUUACCUAAAGUAAUAUUAAAAACACUCUCUUUUGAACACUCUCUAAUACUUAGAUUUAAAUCAUUGUGGGUGGGACAUCCCAACAAAGUGGUGGGAUAUCCCGUCAUCCAUCUCAACCAUCCCUCAUACCAUGCAGUCAUGGGCAUCCAGUCAUCCACUUAUACAAAAUGGUGGGACAUCCAGUCAUCCACAAACACACCACUCGUUUAGAGAUGAUACCGGUUCUUAUAGCCCUCACUCCUCACUCUUGGUACUUGAAUUGUAGACAUGUCUUCAGCAACAAUAAUAACUACAUUACUUUAUUUCCUUCUCUUCACUUUCACAUGCUUUUUAUUCAAACACUUCUUACAUCCAAAACAAAAAAACAUAAACCAUAAAAAGCCACCAGGUCCACCAACACUACCAAUAAUUGGAAACCUUCACCUAUUAGGUAAACUUCCACAUAGAACACUUCAAUCACUCUCCAAAAAAUAUGGUCCAAUCAUGUCCUUACAACUUGGUCAAGUUCCAACAAUUAUAAUUUCUUCUUCAAAAGCUGCAGAAUCAUUCCUCAAAACUCACGACAUCAAAUUUGCAAGCCGGCCAAAGAUUCAAGGAACUGAACUCAUAACAUAUUGAUGUGAUCCUAAAAAUUAUCUCUCUUGACAAGAAUAAUAAAGUCAUUGUGGAAUAAAAGAACCAAAUUAAUUUUGGGUUCAAAGUUUUAUUUUCGUAGGUCAUGAUAUGUCUGUCUUGUUUUGGCUAUAUCUGGAGCUCUGGAUGUCCGUUUGAGGUGAUCUUUAACUCGUUGGAAAGCUUACGAAAUUCUCUACAUUUCAUCUAUUUGAUUCAAGAUCAAAUUCGGAAUAUUUAAUGGUGUAAAAUGAGUUGUAAGUUGAAAACGUGGUUAAAGUGUGUAAGCUGAAGAAUUAAAGGUGUUUGUGGAAUUGUAACGUCUAGAAAUAAUUAGCCUUCACAAAUCAAUGUGCAAAUGAAUAUGUAACCUCCUCAUGCAUUGAUUAGCCACCAGCUUAGAGAGUCAUUUUGUAACAUUUUAUUUGCAUUAAUCAGCCACCAAAACAUUAUUGUAAUUAGUGGUUGCAUUUCCUUUCAUUUUCUAAGAGUUUUAGAGUCAAAAUCAUCAUGUAAUAAGCUCAUAUAAAUAGAGCACGAAAAUGAUAUGAAAAAGAAGUUGAAUAUUAUAGAAUUUUACACAUAUGUGUAUUGAGAGCUUUGUCUCUUGUGGUUCUGGAUUGAACCAACCUUGAUCUUAUCAAGAAAUCAUAUUUCUUGUGGCGAUCCUCGCAUCCAUAGACUUAUCACUUUCUUGGAUUAGAAAGUGUGGCGUCCCUGUCUAUCCAUUACAUUUCUUCAUUUUUUAGUCUUUUCAUCAUUUCCACCAACAAUAUUCAUAAUUCACUUCCGACGGCUCCGUGACAUUCAUCAUUUGGUAAUCAGAGCUUAGGUUCAAAUCAGGUGUUUUCUAUCCUUUUAAUUUAUUUGAUUUUUGUUGUUCUACAUCAAAGUUUGAAAAAAAAAAAUGUCUCAAGAAAUCCAAGCUUCAAUAGAAUAUUUUGAUAAAGUAUGGAGAGAGAAAAUGCUUGAGGAUAUCAAGAGGAGAUCAAGUCAUUCUUCUCCUCUUAAAGAGUUACAAAGAAAUAGGAGAGAGAAAAUGAUGGCAAUAAUUGAUAGAGGAAUGGCUGAUAUCUCUAAAAUACUAGAGGAAAAUCUCUUUCAAAUCCAAAAUCAUUAUAUAGAGCCUAAAAUAGAUAUUGAAGAAAAAGAGAGUCUCAUUGUAAAGGAAACUCACGAAGAAGAAUGUGAAAAGGAAAGAGAAGAGACAAAAGAAAGUGACGAAAAACAAGUAGAGGAAAAAGGAGAAGAAAAGGAGAAUGAGAAGGAAAAGGAAGAGAAAAAUGUUAGGAAGUUUUGGCCUACUAUUACAUUAGUACCUUCUUCUAAGUUGGUUUGUGUUUUUAAAUGUUGGGAUUCUUCUUCUAAUAUUAUUCAAUUGCCUAACAUUUCUUUAUGUCAUGAAGGAAACAAAGAGAAUGAAGAAACUUUUUCUCAACAAGUGGAAGAAAAUUAUGAGAUUUGGAACGAUGAUCAUGUCCAUAAAUCAAAAGUGGAUGAAAAGAAAACUAAUUCUUCCAAUAAAAGUGAAGAGCUCUCUAAAGUUAAAGUUACAUGUGAUGGAUUCCAUAGAUUUAUUUUUGACCCAGGAGGUAUUCAAGCUAUAAAUUCGAGGUCGAAUUCUCUUGAAGAGGGAGAGUAUGAUGUGAUCCUAAAAAUUAUCUCUCUUGACAAGAAUAAUAAAGUCAUUGUGGAAUAAAAGAACCAAAUUAAUUUUGGGUUCAAAGUUUUAUUUUCGUAGGUCAUGAUAUGUCUGUCUUGUUUUGGCUAUAUCUGGAGCUCUGGAUGUCCGUUUGAGGUGAUCUUUAACUCGUUGGAAAGCUUACGAAAUUCUCUACAUUUCAUCUAUUUGAUUCAAGAUCAAAUUCGGAAUAUUUAAUGGUGUAAAAUGAGUUGUAAGUUGAAAACGUGGUUAAAGUGUGUAAGCUGAAGAAUUAAAGGUGUUUGUGGAAUUGUAACGUCUAGAAAUAAUUAGCCUUCACAAAUCAAUGUGCAAAUGAAUAUGUAACCUCCUCAUGCAUUGAUUAGCCACCAGCUUAGAGAGUCAUUUUGUAACAUUUUAUUUGCAUUAAUCAGCCACCAAAACAUUAUUGUAAUUAGUGGUUGCAUUUCCUUUCAUUUUCUAAGAGUUUUAGAGUCAAAAUCAUCAUGUAAUAAGCUCAUAUAAAUAGAGCACGAAAAUGAUAUGAAAAAGAAGUUGAAUAUUAUAGAAUUUUACACAUAUGUGUAUUGAGAGCUUUGUCUCUUGUGGUUCUGGAUUGAACCAACCUUGAUCUUAUCAAGAAAUCAUAUUUCUUGUGGUGAUCCUCGCAUCCAUAGACUUAUCACUUUCUUGGAUUAGAAAGUGUGGCGUCCCUGUCUAUCCAUUACAUUUCUUCAUUUUUUAGUCUUUUCAUCAUUUCCACCAACAAUAUUCAUAAUUCACUUCCGACGGCUCCGUGACAUUCAUCACAUAUGGUUCCAAAGGGUUGGCUUUUUCUAAGUAUGGUCCUUAUUGGCGUAGUGUGAGGAAACUUUGCACUUUAAAACUUCUUAGUGCUUCAAAAGUUGAGAUGUUUGGUUCUAUUAGGAAGGAAAAGUUGGAUGUUUUGAUUAAGUCAUUGGAGAAAGCUGCUUUGGUGAGUGAGGUUGUGAAUGUUAGUGAGGUUGUAGAGAAUCUUAUUGAGGAUAUUGUGUAUAAGAUGAUAUUGGGUCGGAGCAAGUAUGAUCAAUUUGACUUAAAGAGGGUGGUUCAAGACGUAUUGGCUUUGGUUGGAGCUUUUAAUCUGGCUGAUUAUGUUCCUUGGCUAGGUGUAUUUGAUCUUCAGGUAAUUUUUUCAAGUAUAAAAUCAAAAAUAAAGGAUUAAAUAUCGAAUGUGCAAUUUUAGUCAUGAUCUUUUUAAUUGUACGACUUUGUUCUGUAAAUAUUGUUGUGAGAUAUUAGUCUCCACUUUUAAUCCUAAGCAUCAUCAAACAUCAUGGUUGUUUGUAAUUGAAAAGAGAAUGGUAAAUUGCAUGACACUAGCCAUCAUGAAUAAUUAUGAUGUACGAAUCAAGGGUACUUCUGGUUGGUGUUAGAGGGAGAGGGGGUCUUUAGAGGCCAUGGUCUGGUCCCUCCUAUAUUUUUAAUAAUUUUUUUAUUUAUAUACUAUAAUUAAACUAUAUUAUAAUAUUUCAUAAAAUAUAUUAGGCUAUAGUCCCCUCAAUUGAUUUAAUUAAAACGUUCACCAUAUUAUUAGAUUUAUUGACAACUAGUAUUAUUAGUUUGAUAUGUUAUAUUUUAUUUUAAAUUAUCUCACAUUGUCCUUUCCUCAACAUAUUUUAAAUGGAAUAAAACACAAUGAUAUAGCGUUGCAAAAUAAAAGGUGAUUACAAUUAUUACCUUUUUUGAUAGUAAAUGGAUGGAUAAAUAAAUGUUAAAGACGAGUUAAUGUUAUGCUUAUAUGCAUUUGUAUAUAUUUUGACUAUAAAUUUAGAUCUUUACGAAUAAUAUUAAUAUUUUAUUUAAUUAUAAUAAAUAAAUUAAUAUAUGUGUAGUGGUGUCAAUGUCCUAAGUUAUUUACAUUAAUAGUGUUGACGUGUCAGGUGUUCGAGUCAAAGUCCAUGCUUCAUAGAUUAAGUGGUUUGAGUUAUGUAGGUUUUGAUUUUGUAACAUCAAGAAACUUGAUUUAAAUUUGACUAAGAGUUGUAAAAUGAAUAUUAGUGUCACCGUUAUUGAUAAUAAUUUUUUUAAAUGAUAAAUAACAUUUAAAUCAAAAAUAAAAAUCAUAUUUUAAUUUUGUGUGUUUUCAAUUUUUGUAUGCUCAUAUGGUUCUGUUAAAUUAGGUGAAAAUAUUAAAUUAGCAAUUGACAUUAUUAAUUUAACACUUUGUAUAGGGAUUAACACGAGCAUGCAAGGAAACGGGUAAAGCAAUUGAUGAGGUGUUGGAAGUUAUUUUAACAGAGCAUGAACAAACCACUAAUGUAGACAAAAAUCGCCAUGAAGACUUUGUUGACAUACUUCUUACAUUUAUGCACCAAACCAUUGAUCUAGAAAAUGAAGAAAAUCAUUUCAUUGAUCGAACUAACAUCAAGGCAAUUUUACUAGACUUGACUGUGGCAGCAAUUGAUACAUCUGCUACCGUGAUUGAAUGGGCUUUAUCCGAACUUCUAAGACAUCCAAGGGUAAUGAAAAUCCUUCAAGAUGAGAUACAAAAUGAAGUAGGAAAUGAAAGAAUGAUUGAAGAGAAAGAUUUAGAGAACUUAAGUUACUUAGAGAUGGUGGUUCAUGAAACUUUAAGACUUUACCCUGUUGCACCCUUAUUACUCCCUCGUGAAUGUAGAGAGAGUGUAACAAUUGAUGGAUAUUUUAUAAAGGAAAAGACUCGAGUUAUAGUAAAUGCAUGGGCUAUAGGGAGAGAUUCAAAUGUUUGGUCAGAAAAUGCCGAAGAAUUUUACCCAGAGAGAUUCAUUGGCAAGAAAAUGAAUUAUCAAGGACAAGAGUUUGAAUCUCUACCAUUUGGUUCUGGCCGCAGACGUUGUCCUGGAAUUCAAUCGGGUUUAGUGACCGUUAAGUUGGUUAUUGCCCAAUUGGUGCAUUGUUUUGAUUGGGAACUUCCAUAUAAUAUCAGUCCUUCCAAUUUGAAUAUGGAGGAGAAAUUUGGACUCACUAUACCAAGAGCUCAACACUUGCAUGUAAUACCGACUUAUCGUUUGGCAUGUGAUGACAGGGUUGAAUAGGUUCAAGAAGGACAAUAUUAUGCUUGUAUGCAAUAAGUUUAUUACUAUAUUAAAGGACAAUCUUAAAACCCUCUUUUAUUCUACUAACCCUCUCUCAUCAUGUUUUUUGUAACUUGGUUUCGAAUCCGUACGCGGGUUCGCUGGAUUGCGCUCAUGGUGAGAGUUAGUUUGUUAGGAUUGAUUAGGGUAGUUUCAUUUUUCUGUUUUACACGAUGUAUUUCCGUUUGGGUUAUUUCUGGGUCAGGUGCAAUGUCCCCCCAGCUCUUUACCUUUUGUUCUUUUAUGUUAUUUUAUUUCUAUUUUUGCUAUAAAAAAAAAAAAAAAAGUAUAGUAGGUCUAAUGGUAUUUUUCGAUGAUUCUAGGGUGAAGAGAACUAGACUUGCUUUUCUACAUUUGAGCACAUACUUUAAAUAAUUUGAAGGAGCAUUUAUACUUUAAAAUAGACUACAUAAACAAAAUGGAUGAUUUUCAUACUAUUUGUUAAAAUUAAAAAUUAUUUUUCAAAACUAGAUAUCAUAAACUUUCCAGUAAAUGGUCAGUUGCUUAAUUCUGACACCGUUUUCUAUAUUAAUAUAAUCGAUGAAGUUUAUGAUAAAAUGCAGAAAAAUGUGAGAAAAUGAUCAAUAAUUAAAGUAUGCAUACCAUAUUAUUUAUAUUUUCAUACAGGUUGCAAAAUGAUUUCUGUUAUCAAAAUAUGUUUUGAGCUAUGAGUUCCUUAGAAGACUAGACAAAAUAAGGAACCAAGUUGUGAGCCUCCCAUUUAUGGGGAGGACAAGUUCCAUGUCCCAGCAUACUAACUUAUUUAACUUAAUGUUUUAAUUUACUUUAAGAAGAUAUUUAAUUGCAUUUGCACCCAAAACCAAUGUCUUAGUGUUCAAGAGUUUUAGAGUUUGAAAUUCAUAGCACUAUUUAGAUGAUGCGAUGUGAAGGUACGAACUUAAUAAAUAAAGACAGUGAAAUGUUUGUUGUAAUUUAAACCUUCAACAGGUAAGGGGACCUACUCACAUGCUAAGAAUAAUAGAUAUGUUUGGUUAUAUAUACCGUUGGUGUACACAUCUGAUGCGGUGUAUUCUAUGAUUCUUGUAUACACAGGUCAUUAGUUUAUUACUAUAAAUAUAAUAAUUUUUUGUUUUAAUUUCUCUAAAUUUGUUUUUUGAUUGUUAGUUAUGAAAAAUAUUUUAAUCACCAUUUUUUUUUUAAAGAAAUAUGAUUAUAACAUUUCAUUAAUAAUAAAAGAUUCAAUACAAUCAGGUAUGUUAAAAUAAACAAUGAGACUAGUUAGAAACGUGACUUCUCUUACAAGCACAUGAGCAACCAUAUUUGUUUGUCGCCUAGCAAACUCCAUAGAGUUGGUAAAAGAAGAGCUGAAUAGAGAUCGACAAGAAGAAAUAAUGCAUGCAAAUCCAGAAAUGUCGUCUCGAGUAAUCUUGGAAUCAGUUUCAAAAUCAACAUUAUUUAUCAAAUUGCAUAUCACUCAACCAGUGCAUAGCACUAUGUAACAUGAAUGCUUCACCAACAUCAACCGAGUAAAUACAUGGAAAACUGGCAACUUUUGCCAAGACAAACGCACCUUCAAAAUCCCGAACACAAAUGUCAAUUCUAGUUUGGUUAAGAUUAGAUGAGAACGCAACAUUGAUGUUACACUUAUACCUACCUGACAAAGGACGUUCCCAGCAAUUGGAACCCGCGGGUCCUGUACUGCUAAUUGUAUCCAAAGUUGCGGCCGAAUGCUCCCCACCAUGAGGUUGUUGCGCUUGCUGCUGAGUUGUGGGAGCAGCUAUGCUAGAGGCAUUUGCAAGAUGCCAAUCGUUGACAAGUUCUUUGCACGCUCAACAAUCGUGGCACUUACCUAUAUGACAUCAUCCCAAACUUUUAGAUUACCAUGCUUCCAAAGGCUCCAUAAUGUUGCUGCCAACCGUUGGUUUUGUUCGGAAUAUAAUGUAUCCAAUAACAAAAUGAUAGUUUCAGUUGUUAAAGUAGUAAAUUGAAUAGCAUGUUGAAUAGCUCCCCAAAUAUUUGUCAUAUGCCAUACCUGGACAUGAUCAAAAGAACAAUAAAAAUAAUUAAGUGAGCAAGAUCCUCAUGGUUUGAGUUACAACUAACACAAUGUGUAGGACAUUGGAUUCCUUUAUCAAGGAGACGAACACGAGUCGGUAAGUAGCCCCGGCACAUACGCCGCACUAAAUUUUUAACUUUAGGAGGAACCUUAACCUGCAAAAUUCCUGACCAAGAACCUGGACAACGAGAAUGAGAAGAAACAACGGGCUCGUCCAAACAAAGCGGAUAAUCACUACACACAGAAUAACGACUAUUCUUUUCCGCUUUCCAGAUUAAACGAUCAUCUUGGAACUAGGCAAUAAGUGGCGUGUUAAAAAUCUUAUCAGCUAUAUCAACACUAAGAACCUAGCGAACUACCUCUUCAUUCCAGCUCUAGUCGUAUAGAUUAAUCAAAUUAUUAAUGGUAACAUUCUAACCAAAACGAGCUCCUAUAAUACUUCCAUCAAUACACUCUCCGUCAGAUAACCAAGGGUCAUUCAAAAUAGAAAUAGAAGAGCCGAAAUCAAUACUCCACCAAGCACCUCCACAAACGAUAAAUCGGGUGCGCAGAAUGUUGUGCCACACAUAGCUAGGAUUGUGGCCAAGUUGUGCCAUGAGAUAGGUAUGGAAGGGAAAAUAUUGUGCUUUAAAAAUACAAGCGACAUGAGAGUCAGGUUCCAUAAGAAAUUCCUAACCUUGUUUACCCAACAUAGCCAAGUUGAAAGCGGGGAGGUCCUUAAAACCCAUUCCCCUAUGAACCUUGUGUACUAACAACUUCUCCCAACUCAUACAGCUAAUAUUGCGUUGUGUAGUUCUACCAUGACGCCACCAGAAGGAAUUCAUCAUCUCUUCGAUACUGUUAAUUAACGUAAUUGGUGAUAAAAAAAUGCUCAUAACAUAAAAAGGAAUGACCUGCAAGACAAAUUUAAUCAUAACCUCACGCCCUGCCUUAAUUAGUUAAGCAUUUACUACUCUAGGAAUUAAUUUUCUGCCAAACUCGAUCUUUGAUAUAAGCAAAAGUUGCAUUUCGAUCCCUAUACCAAUCAUAGAUGGUAAACCAAAUAUUUGCCGAUUCCCAAUAUCGCCUGAACCCGAAGAAUGUUAGUAAGAGUCAGUUUGAGAAGGUCAGGAACAUUUCGACUACAAUAAGUUUCAGACUUAGGCAAACUAAUGGCAUGGCCUGAAGUUAAUUCACGUUUAAUCACCAAUUUUAGUCCUUACUUUUAAGUCAAUUCAUAUGUAUCAUUCAUGUUUUUUAAUGAAAAUUACCAAGAAUGUUUACAAUAUUAUAAGAAUCUCUUCAAAAAAAACAAUAAUUUAGAAAGAAAAAAAAAAGAAUUAUAUAUGUAUUUGUAUGUACCAAAAACAUAAAAAAUAAAAUCAUGUUUGUUAAAAAAUUCUAAAUUUGUUUGGAAGAUAUUCUUAUAAUUGUUGAUAUAAAAUCUAAAUCCCCAUUUUUAGUUUUAAAGAUAACAAACUAAUUAAAUUAAACUUUAUUAAUUCUGAUUUUAAUUGUUAUAUAACUUGUGCUCUUGAGUAUCUUUUUUAAGUUAAAGGUAUAAAAGCAUUGUACAAUUAUCAAGGAAAGCAACAAGUUAUGAUGGAGAGAUUGAUCUCAAGCAUUGGUUUCAAAUAUGGAUUUAAUGUUCAAAUAAGGCCAAGCACGUACAGGGAAAUGGAAUGUUACAUUUGAGGAAGCAAUAAAUAUUUCAAGCAUAAACUAUAUCAUGACAAGGAAAUAUUAUUUGAAGCUUACUACAAAUGAACAUAUGAACAAAAAGAACAUAUUUAAUGUCAUGUGCAAAAAUAGUUGGCAUGAGAAUGACCACUAUAUUUUCGACAACACAUCAAGAGUGUAAGACAAAUACAAAACUAUGAACCUUUGGAUAUUCACUUUAUGGUCACCUCACAACAUGACAAGAAAGCUGCCUAGUACAAGAAAAGCCUUUUCUUUGGGCUCAAGUCUUAUGGUACAGCAACAAGUGAAAAGGAAAUGAGCUGUACAAAGCUCAUGUCUCACGUAGCAAGCAACAAAGUACAAAGGAAAGCUUCAGCAGAUUUAGAGAUCGAUCUCAACUUUGAAAGGAACAGUUCCAUCUCAAAGGCUCCCUUGAAUCUUGUGCUGCAAGAAAGGAAGAAUUUAACAAGGGUUUUUCUCCUAUAAAUAGAAGACUCCAGCAAGUGAGAAAAACAACUUUUGAGCAAAAGAAAAAAGACAACAUUCUUUAAGAAUUUCUUUGUUUACAAAUCACUCAAGAAUCAUAUCUUUGUUUUGAGCAAGCAGCUCUUUUGUGUAUUAAAUCUUUGAAGAAGUUUAAUACUUUCAAAUACUAUUGUAAAAGAAUCUGCAAGUGUGCAGAAAGGUUGUAAAAAUUCUUGCUCGUAACGGCAAGUGACUUGACCAAGUGAAGGUUGAAAGAAAGUGUUGUAUAGAUCAGAAAGAUCUAAAAAGAAAGAAGGAAUUGAGAUUAAGUCAUAACUCAAUUACCUAGUGGAAAAUCUCACAAGUAUUGUGGGGACUGGACUAACCCACGUUGGGUGAACCAGGAUAACUCUUUUUGUGUGAUCCUUCUUCCUUAUCUAUUUUUAUUUGCACUAAUCACACACCUUCACUAUAUCUAUUUAAAAUUCCAUUUAAAUCACUAACGUUUUUUUGUUGAGAAUUUUUAAUAGGUAAUUUUUAUUACAUCACAAUUCAAACCCCCUUUCUUGUGAUAAUUAUUUAUCUUCAAUAAUACUUUAUGAAUUUCUGAAAAUUUAAUUAAAAAAUAUGAAGACUACACAAGAGUUCACUUAAAAGUAGAGAUCAGAAGUAUUGAUGAAAAUUUUAAGAAGACUAAAUAUUGAAGAAAUUUUUAGAGGAACUAAAACUAAAAAUUAAUAUAUUUAUAAGGACUAAAAACAUAUUUAACCAUAUCUUUUAUUCUCUAUUCAAAAUAUACCGUAUUAGAUUGCUUUCUUUAAAGAUUAUCGAUAUAAAACAUAAUUAAAAAUUAAUAAUUAAAUAUAAGUGGUUUCAUAGCCAGUAGUAAUAUAUUCAUUUUGAUGUCUUAAAAAAAAUAUUAAUAAUUAAAUAUAAAUAUAAAGAGAAAAGCAUUUCUUUAUGAUGGGAAAGAAAAAAAAAUGUAUCAUGUGUCAAAACUCAACUCAUUUUAUUUUUCAACAAUAUUCUUCUCAUAUAAUUGUAAUGUUUAUACAUUUUAUUUUACCAUCAAUAUUCUUUUUUUACCGCCAUGAGAAUUACACCGACCAAGGAAACAUGUGGUCCCCGCCCAUAUCGCCAAAAUAACGUUGUCCAUUCUUUUUUUAAUGAAAUACAUGUAGAUUUGACUUUGUAUGGAGAGGUGGAGUUGUGGGACGCCUCAUCUAUGUUAGCUUGCUCACUACUCUCCACCUCAUCCACAUUCAGUCAGUCACCCACUACCUCAUAUGAUCAACUCUAUAAAUAUGGGGAUUUCCGGCCUCCAUAAUUCAUUCACUCCUUCUUACCAAAAAAACACUAAUAACCUAAGAGCUCCUCACUGUCAUCACCAUGGCCAGGAGGGUCUCUACUACUGUACACAGAACAAGUACAUUUUUAAUUUAUUUUUAGGCAAAUUCUAUGGUACACCUAAUAUAUUUGAGUGUAUCAGUACACUCACUCUUUAAAUUAAUGGUUAAAUGAGUUGUAUUUUGAAGAAAAAUAUUAUUUUCUAUCAUUUAUAUUUAUAAUAACUAAAUCUUAUUCGUCAGAAGUGUUAACGAAAUAAAAUUAAUUUUUUUUUUGAAUUUUUAGCACUCAUAAUUGAGAAUAUUGAUUAUAUUUUACGAUUAUAUGUAAAAAAAAUUAUUAUGAUUCCUAUAAACAAUGAACUGAUGUUUUUUCUUAUGAAAUAUAAAUAUUGAUAAAUAGUUAUUUAUUUCAUAAAAAACGAUCGUUAAUUUAUAAAAUUAUGAAGAAAGAGUACCGGUACACCUCAUUUUAUGAGUGUACCGUAAAAGUUCCCUUAUUUUUAUUGGAAAAAGGAAAUUAUUAAUAAUGGUGACAUCAAUGAACAUAUUACAAUUGUCCCACGUUGGGUUUGGACCAAUAUUUCAUUUGUGAUUACAGUAAAUCUCUUUCCACAGAUGUUGGACAUAAUAUCAAAUGUAAUAAUCAAACAUAUACUCUCUCCGUCCCAAAAUAUAAGCAAAAAUAGUUUAAACCAAAUACAUUAACUUUUGUUGUCUAAUUUUUGUUUACAUUUUGGGACGGGAAGAAAUACUCGUUUAUAAUUAGAAUAUUUUAUUUUAUAUAAAAAAAUGAUCAUUCAAAUUGAUUGUGUACAUCCGAUACAAACAUAAAUUCAGCAUUUCUAAAAAUGAAAAUAAAUUUAAGAAUAAACUCACAUCAUCCAAAUUAAUACCAUAAAACAACAACAAAAAUUAUAAAUAAUGUGACAAAAUUAAAGGAAUUGGAAUAUUCAUGUAUUCAAAUCUGCAAUUGACGACUUAAUCAUUUGUUGAAUCAGAAAUUGUUUGAAGUUGAUAUGUUUAUCUAAGUCAAAUGAACACUACACCCAGAUGAAAAUUCAAACAAACACUACAUCAAAACGAGAAAUCAAACAACGUCGCACUGAGAUGACGAAAUCAUAAAAGAAACUUAGGAAAAAUAUGUACUUUAUAGAAAUAUCUUCAAGUUCGCGCAUUGUACAUCUUUGUUUUUUUCCUUCAAAUCUGUUAGAAUAUUCCUAGGCGCCGCCAAACUCUUUGUCAUGUCGAUAACCUUUUCUUCUCCUCCGCUUUUAGUCUACCUGCAAGAAGGUGGCCGUCUAACUUUGGCGCCAACUCAUGGUUGUGCAUUCCACAAAGCAUUGCAAUCCACCAAUCUUUUGUAUCCUUAUCAAAGAAACCUUGCAACCUAAGCGAACAUUCCCAUUUCCUUGAGCCCGUGUCUUCAAGGUUUGGUUUCUUCCUCGUCUUAGGUGGCUUGUAUUCACCACUGCUUUCACAUUGUGUCGUCAAAUAUGACCUUUUUAAACUAGAUUUAUCUAUAAAAAUAGUAAAUCCGGCCCUUGCCACUUGUGGCCAACCUAACCAAGUAAAUCUUCUCGGUCUUUCCAUCUUUUAUUUGUUGUAAAAAACGAGUCGGUGUCUACUUCAAUACCACGAUCAUUGGUAGCCAUUUGUCAUGGUCUGACCUCUAUAAUAUAUUGUCUACAACAAUCACUAUAUACAUGUAAUUUUUUUUUUUUUAAAUUCAUUAAAUAAUUAUUAUAUCUAAUUUAUUUAUAAAUGAGAUACAUUAAUUAUUCAAUAAAACUAAAAAAUUAUUUUUUACUUGUAUAUUUAACCGACUAAGAAUGGAAGGUGGAUCCAGUUUUUGAGGGAUGAAUCCAUUCAUCUGCAGUGUCUACCUUUACUUCUUCAAUUUAAUUUCUUUGUAUAGUUAGUCUUAAAAAAGUUAUGUAGCGAAAUAGUUCAAUCUAUUUGAAUUAAUGGUUUAAAGGAAUUAAGGAGUUAAAAAUCUUGGUUCAAGUCUUAUAAGAAAAUAAAUUAACAUAGGCUUAAAUGCUCUUUUGGUCCCUUAACUAUUUAAUUGGUAUCGCUUUGGUCCAUUAACUAAAAAAAAGAUUGUUUGAGGAUUUUAAAUUUUUUUUAAGUCUCGUUUUGGUCCCUUCGGUUAGGUUUCCGUUAGUUUUAAUAAAAAACGUUAAGUGUGGACACAUGUCACCUUGUCAUUGGUUCUGAGAUUUUUUUUUUACAAAAAAAAUAAUAAUUUUUUUUGUAAAAAAAAAAAAAAAAACUCAGAGCCAAUGACAAGGUGACACUUGUCCAAGAGUUAACUUUUUUUAAAACCCUAACGGAAACCUAACAGAAGGGACCAAAACGAGACUAAAAAAAAACUUAAAGUCCUCAAACAAUCUUUUUUUUAGUUAAGGGACCAAAGCGAUACCAAUUAAAUAGUUAAGGGACCAAAAGAGCAUUUAAGCCAAUUAACAUAUUUGAUAUUUGUCAUUUUCUUUGAAGGAUUGAUAUUUGUCAUUUAAAAAUACUUUCUAUUAAGGAGAAAAAUACUUCAAUUAACAUAAUCAUAUUUUAUCAUAUCUUCUUGAGCUUAGCUCAGUUGAUAGAAACAAUGUAUAAUAUAUGCAAGGUUUGAGUCAAACCUCGACCACCACAAAAAAUAAAUCAUAUUUUACCAUCACGUCAUUUUAUUAUAUUAGUUUACUGUAAAUAUAUUUUAAAAGAAUUCAUGAAAAUCCCCUAAAAAAAGAAUUCAUAAAUCUUCUCCUACAUAAUAUAAUAUAUAUAUUGUAAAACAUGAUUCAACUUAUAUGUAAGUUUUUGUUAACGGAAAGCGAUACCAAUUAAACAAAUCAAAAUUAUUUGUUUCCACCUUUAUUUAACUAAUAAUUAUUCUAUCACUUGCACGGCUGCACCAUCUUCAAAUCCUCAAUCAAGCAACACUAAUAAUUCUUUAUAGUUCUCAUCCUUAGAACUUAGAUCCAAAGAAUUCACUGUAAACAUGUUUUCAACAACAAUAAUAAUUCCUUUCAUUCUCUUCACUUUCACAUACCUUUUAUUCAAAUUCUACUUACGUGAAAAACAAAACACCAUAAAUCAUAAAAAACCACCAGGUCCACCAACACUACCAAUAAUAGGAAACCUUCACAUGUUAGGUAAACUUCCACAUAGAACACUUCAAUCACUGUCCAAAAAAUAUGGUUCAAUCAUGUCCUUACAACUUGGUCAAGUUCCAACAAUUGUUAUUUCAUCUUCAAAAGCUGCAGAAUCAUUCCUCAAAACUCAUGACAUCAAUUUUGCAAGUCGGCCAAAGACUCAAGCAUCUCAGCUCAUUUUUUAUGGUUCCAAAGGGUUGGCUUUUUCUGAGUAUGGUCCUUAUUGGCGUAGUGUAAAGAAACUUUGCACUUUGAAACUUCUUAGUGCUUCAAAAGUUGAGAUGUUUGGUCCUAUUAGGAAGAAGGAGUUGGAUGUUUUGGUUAAGUCAUUAGAGAAAGUUGUUUUGGUAGGUGAGGUUGUGAAUGUUAGUGAGAUUGUAGAGAAUCUUAUUGAAGAUAUUGUGUAUAAGAUGAUAUUGGGUAGGGGUAAGUAUGAGCAAUUUGAUUUAAAGAAGUUGGUUCAAGAAGGAAUGGCUAUGCUUGGAGCUUUUAAUCUGGCUGAUUAUGUUUCUUGGUUAGGUCCUUUUGAUCUUCAGGUAUGUGUGUAAAAGUUGAAGAAAUUAGUUACCUAUUGACUUGAUUUUAUUUUAAGUCUCUUAAGUAUCGUAGCUGUACAUUUUUCAUUGGUCACUUUAUUAUAUUGCACAGUUUUGGGUCCUUCAUGUUUUUUCCUCUUAUGUAUUAAUUGAGGGGUCCUUCAAUAUUUUAGUAUUACAAGGGAGAAAAUAGGGAAGAAAAAAAAAGAGGAUCAUGUAAUUGAACAACACAAUAACACUAGGACACAAUAACACUAGGGUUACCGUCUUUUUUUUCUUCUUUCAAAUAUAUACGUAUGUGAAGAAACUAGACAUUGCAAGUUUAAAUUUAUGUUCUAAGGUGUUCCACAAAUCCUGCGUUAACUUGUAACCUCGUACAACUCGUACAAAUUUACGUUUUUAUGUGUCAAAAAUAUGUUAAGAGCAUGUUUGGCCCUGCUUAUUUGCCACUUAUCUUUUACUUCUAAAGAGAAGUGGGGCCAAACAUAAUUUUGAUAAAGCUCUUAAUAAUAGAAGUGACUUUUUUGUAAAGAAGGAAAUCCAACAAAAGUGACUUUGAAAAUAAGAUAAAAAAAUGAGCUUUGAGAGUGACUUUUCGGAGGUUAUACCUGCUUUUCCUCCUUCGAUUCCCGCAAGCCACUAUAUUUUUUAUUUUAUUAUUAUUUCUGGCAAAUCGGAGGUAAAUUUGAUUUUUGGUGAAAUUGAAUGUUUGACAAGUUUGACCAAGUUAACACAUGUUAAAUUCGGUAAAUUAGAUCGAGUUUAUGAGUUUACUUUUUUUUUUGGCAAACACUUUUUAUAUUUUUUAUUUUUUAUUUUUGGUCCCACUAUGUAAAUCUUAGAAAAUCAAUGUCAUGACGACCAUGUCCCUUAAUUAAUUCUAAAUUUGAGUAAAAAUAAUGGACUACAUAAAGUGACAGAAAAUGGAGGGAUUUGAGGAUUUGUGUGUUGACUUUCACUUUAGUCUCUAGAUCCAUGUUACACAUCCUUGUCGGCAUUUAACGGUCAAUUUUAACGUCAAGCACUAAACUAACCAACGGAGGUAAACAUCCGGGGACCAUUUUGCAUUUUAUCAUAAGUCAAGAUUAUUGUAACAGUGAGGUGCAAAGUCAGAGACUAAAAUGAUUAUUUCUUCAUUUUUUUAUUGUUCCAGUAAGGUAUGUAAAAAUAUCCAAUUAGUAAUUGUCAUUCUUAAUUUAACACUUUGCUAGGGAUUUACACGAACCUGCAAGAAAACCGGUAAAGCACUUGAUGAGGUAUUGGAGAUGAUAAUUACAGAGCAUGAACAAAGCACUAAUGUAGACAAAGUUCGUCAUGAAGAUUUCAUUGAUAUACUUCUCUCAAUUGUGCACCAAACGGUAGAUCCAGAAAAUGAACAAAGUGGUGUUAUUGACAGAACUAACAUCAAGGCAAUUUUACUAGACAUGAUUGUGGCAGGAAUUGAUACAGCCACUACCACGAUUGAGUGGGCUUUAUCUGAACUUUUCAGACAUCCAAGAGUGAUGAAAAAGCUUCAAGAUGAGAUACAAAAUGAAGUAGGAAAUAAAAGAAUGGUCGAAGAGAAUGAUUUGAAGAAGUUGAAUUACUUAGAUAUGGUGGUUGAUGAGACAUUAAGACUUUACCCUGUUGGACCCUUAUUACUUCCUCGUGAAUGUAGAGAAAGCAUAACAAUUGAUGGAUAUUUUAUAAAGGAAAAGACACGAGUUAUAGUAAAUGCAUGGGCUAUAGGGAGAGAUUCAAAUAUUUGGUUAGAAAACGCUGAUGAGUUUUAUCCAGAGAGAUUUAGUGAUAAGAAAAUGAAUUAUCAAGGACAGCAAUUUGAAUCUAUACCAUUUGGUUCAGGUCGUAGACGUUGUCCUGGGAUUCAAUUGGGUUUGGUUACGGUUAGAUUUGUUGUAGCUCAAUUGGUGCAUUGCUUUAAUUGGGAACUUCCACAUAAUAUUAGCCCUUCCAAUUUGAAUAUGGAAGAGAAAUUUGGAGUCACUAUACCAAGGGCUCAACAUUUGCACGCAAUACCGAGUUAUCGUUUGGAAUGUGAUGAGAAGCUUGAAUAGGUCCAUAAAGGACAUUAUUAUGCUUGUAUUCAACAAGUUUAUUACUAGUAAAGAUGUUAUAAGUUGGUCUAAUGGUGCUUGAAUAGAAUAAGUUAAUGAGUAUUGCUAGUUUUUAUUAUAUGUUAAUAGCCAACAUAUGAAUAAAUUAGGAGUGAAGAAAUUAGAGAAAUUAUCAGUUAAUUGCUUAUUGAAUAAGUGUUUAUCAUACAAGUGUUUAUGUAUAUGAUCAGUUAUUCCAAUAAUUAAAGUGAUAAUCCGGUCCACUAUUUUCAACUAACUUGUAACUGAUUUUCUUAAAUUUGUCAUAGAGUGCUAAUUCAACCUAUGACAUCAGGUUCACAAUGGUAUGAAGAAUUAGUUCACUGGUUUAUGCUUGCUUUGUAAUUGUUUUUAGAAAUUUGAAUUAAUAAUAGUCUCAAUUUUAAUUUCAUAAUAAUCAUGAGUAGAGAAUAAUGCCCAGUACCUUAUUGUAAUGAUACCAAAGUUUGGGUUUGGAAUCUCUCCGGUGGUCACACGAGAGUCCAGUGAAAUCUUGUCCAUUAAAAAUUAAUGUAUAUGAGAAUUUUAAAUGUUGAAAAUAAAAGAGAAGACAAUUAAUGGUGCAGAUUGUAUCACUGCAGAAAACUGGAGAGAUUUUCACAGGAGGAAAUCCAUUUCCCCAAAAUUUUAUUUGGAUUUGUUAGUUCAAGACAACUUUUAGGUUGUGAAAGUAUAAAUACAGAUUUUCAUGCAAUUAUAACAUAAGGGAUGCCUAAAAUUCUAGAAAUUAGAGGAACAAAUAAAUAAUUUGAUUAGAGGAAAUAUUGGAAGUAGUGUUUUCAUAGUACUGAAUAGUUUGAUUCACCAUAAAAAACUCCAUCAAUUUUAAAAAUUUAUCAUUAGCUGAGUUAAGGUUUGUAUCUCUGUUUCUUUGAUUAACUUCAUCUUAUUUGUCGUUCUACAAUCUCCAUAGUAACAUUCUAGUUUUGUUGUCAUGUGUGAUAUGUUGUGUUAAAAAAGCUUUAGAAUUUGAAGGUCUACCUCAUUUCUAGAAUUGAUAUUAGCAUGUUUGUGCAAGCGGUUGAUUUAUCAAUUCAGUGAUAAAAACCCACGUUUGAAGAGAAGCUACCUUUUGAAGCUUCUUUAAAUCACGUCUUUCCAGCACACUGGCGGCCGUACGUACGUCCGCUNNNNNNNNNNNNNNNNNNNNNNNNNNNNNNNNNNNNNNNNNNNNNNNNNNNNNNNNNNNNNNNNNNNNNNNNNNNNNNNNNNNNNNNNNNNNNNNNNNNNGGAGACAUCCCAGACACUUGGCAUGAUCAUGAUUGAACAGAGAAGCUUUGCACAGCUUGAUGUGUAGAGGUACCAGAGGAGUUGCGACGUUGCGGACAUCAAGUCUCGGAGCUUCUUCACACACUUCGAUCAUAUUCACAGCGGCAUGAUUUGGUAGCGGAUUGUCGAGGACAUGUGGGACAUUAUUCUCAAAAGUCAGCUUCCCUUGAUCGAUGAGCUUCUUCACGAUAUACUUCAAAGCAUAACACCCCUCGACGUCAUGACCCAAGGCACCUUGAUGAAAGUCACAUUUGAGAUCAGACCUGAACCUUGGAGGCAACGGAUCAGGUGGGGGCUUACCCUGUCUAGUUGUACAAUGACCUCUCUGGAGUAGAGUUGGAAGAAGUUCUGCAUACAACAUUGGUAUAGGAGGGAAGGUUGGCCUGGCUUGCUGAUUUUGUUGUUGUUGUUGAACCGGCAUCUGUUGUUUCAUCUGUUGGGCAAUUGCAUUGACGGGCACUUGAGGCUGGCCCGGCGGCAAAGGGUACUGAUGAUAAAACGGUGGGAAGAACGGAUGCUGAGAAUACGGCAUAUAUGGGUAUGACGGAGGCAUUUGAGCUGCAUUGAUAGGAGCAACAGUAGCCAUUGAUUGCCCGGCUCCAGCUGACACCAUCCCCACUUCCGUUUCUUUCUUUUUGUGGUGUCCAUUACCAUAUCUCUUCGACGCAUUCACAGAGGAUUCAGCUUUCUCAAACACGAUGAUUCCAUCCCUUACGGCUUCCUCAAGACGGGUUCCCAUGGUGACCAUCUCCGAAAAGUUGUUCGGGGCAGCGAUGAUCAUCCUCUCAACAUAAUCUUUCUUCAACGUUUUUAAGAACGUCUGGGUCAUUUCUUCCUCAUCUAAAGCAGGAGUGAUACGGGCAGCCGCCCCUCUCCACCUUUGCGCAUAUUCACGGAAACUUUCCUCCUUCUUCUGAGAUAGGGACCUGAGAAACUCCCUAUUUGGCCUCAGUCGAGUGUUAAACCCAUAAUGGCUCUUGAAAGCGGUGGCUAACUCAUCAAAGGUAUGGAUGUCAUUCUUACUCAAACUAGUAUACCACUCUGCGGCAUCCUCCAUCAGACUAUCCUGAAAACAGUGGAUCAUAAGGGAAUCAUUGUCUUUGUAAUUGCCCAUCUUCCGGACGUAUUUGAUGAUGUGAUUUUGAGGACAAGUUAGCCCGUUGUACCGGUCGAAGUCCGGAAUCUUGAACUUUUUAGGAACAUCCACUUUUGACACUAAGCAAAGGUCUUGAGUUUUGACAGAGUUUGCACUCCCUCGAUUGGCCUGGAUCUCGUGACGGAGUUCUUUAGCAAGUUCCUCCAUCAUCUCUUCCAUAGUCUUGGUUACGGGGAUGCUUCUGUGCUGUGUGUUGACGUUAAUACCUUGAGGCAGAGUGUGUACCAGAGGCUCAGUGACAGCUGCUGUUGUUUGUGGCAAAGUAGCAAUGAUGGAGGCGGCAUUUGUUGCAGGGAUCAGAACAUUGUUAGCAGUGCCCGAGGUGCUUGCUGUAGCAACGGGAGUGAAGAACGGUGGAAGCCCAUACGGAAACCCCACUGGCAUAGUAAAGCGGUUGUCUGCAGAAGUGGUAGGGAGCACGCUUGUAGUUACUGGUGCAGCUGUGGUUGUAGGGAUAGCUGUAGCUGAUUGCUCUUGAGCAGCUAGUAGAGCAGUCAUGACGUCAUUAGCUUUAGCCAAUUCCUCCUUUAGAGAGGCCAACUCGGUGCGAAGCUGAGCGUUCUCUUCUUCCAUAGCCCUUUUCUUUCUUCUGUAUUCUCUGGUUCGAUCAAUUCUAUCUGGUUCGUAAACUCUCUGAGCACGAGCCACUUUUCACACUGUGGCAGAGGAACCAGGAGAUAGUGAGCACUUGGAAGCCUUUGUGACCAAUGCAUGAUGCAUAUGAUGCAUGAUGUGCAAAUGCGAAUGCAAAAGACUUAUUUUUUUUCAUCGAAGGAAUUUUGAACCAAUUAGAAAUCUUUGCAAAUAAUCAAAACUACAUAGUAUUUUUUUUUAACAGGAAGACUUUGAAAUUUCAACAAGAUAAACACAUGGAGUCCUCAAGCAUAGGAAGUAGUCGGAGGAUCAUCGGACUCGGAAUCUGAAUCACAGUAUCUGGCAAAGAAGUCUCGUCGUCCUCGGGCUCUCUUGGAAUCCCUCAUAAGCAGCUCGUCUUUCUCUUCUAGUUCCCUCCGGGCCUUAGCUAGCUCUUUCUUCAACAUCAGAUUCUCAUGAGUCUUCUGCUCAUCUCUACCAUCCAAAGUCAUGAUUAGAUUCUCGGCUUGAUUGUACCGAGCCUUCCACACUUGCUUCUCACGACUCUCCAUAGCUAGAUGCUCCUGAUACAUAUCCUGAGUCGCGGGGAGCAAAGGUAGAGGCAUAGAUGGGGUAGAUGAAGACACAUAUCUCAUAGCUGGAUAAGGCAUACCAAUCUCCUCAGCUCGAUCUAUCACCCACUGGGUAUAGGCCUCAUGAGCGACACCGGAUCUCACACCUAGAUGCUUCACACUCUUCCUUCGAACCUUGGACCAAGCAUCCACGAAAGCUUUCCUUUGUCCGGUAGGAGCAUUCGUGUAGAAGAAGAACUCUGGAGAUGUGGCAAGAUUGAUGGGCUUCGACUUCAUAGGGAAACCAAACUGUCUCAUAGCAAGCUCGGGAUUGUAGUUGAUUCCUCCACGAGUACCAAGAAGAGGUACAUUGAGAAAGUCUCCACAACCCAUAAUGAUUUCCUUCACUUGAGCGGCAGGAGUGAGCCAGACGACCUCAUCAGGAGUGAGAGCCAUAAUCCGCUGAGAGUAGGACCAAUUUUCCGAGUUAUCAUGGAAGGAACUCGGAAGGUGCGAAAUAAACCACCUAUACAAAAGAGAUGUGCAGCAAAGAAUAUACCCACGGCCCUUGAGAGUCCUGUCAUGAAUGGCGUGGUAGGUGUCCGCUAGCAAAGUAGGAACCGGGUUCUUAGAAUGAAAGAUCUCGAUAGCAUUCAUGUCCACGAAGUUGUCAAGGUUCGGGAAGAGAAUGAGCCCGUAGAUAAGCAAAGCAAGAAUAGCCUCGAGUGUGUCCUGGCGAGUGGUACCGAGAUUAGCCUGAUCAAGAAGAUACUUCGAAGUGAAACCCCGGAUGUGAGACUUGGUAAUAAGAUGGUUGGAGACGUCGGAAGUCUUGAGGUAGAGAUCCUUAGCAACAACCAGAGGAGUAAGAGGAGUCCCGGGACCGGCGAAAGGCGUCUUCUCGGCUAUAGGUAACCCCACUAGAUUGGAGUAAGCCUCGAGAGUAGGAACCAACUGGAAGUCCGGGAAAGUGAAGCAGCGGAAGCUCGGAUCAUAAAAUUGCACCAGAGUGUGCAUUAGCUUCUCGUCCACAUCGGUUCGGAGCAAAGUAAGCAAUCCCCCAUACCGGAGUCGGAACCCUGUUUGACUCUUGACCUUGAGCGCCAACUCUCUCAAACUAACCAAAUCCACUUCCUUGAACUUGUAGCACUUAGUCUUCUUCAUACCUGUGAUUAUUUACAAAAAUUCUCAUUUGUUUAAACCCUUCGAUGAAUGCAUGAAAAAUAUUUAUGCAUGAAUGCAUGUAUGCAUGAUUGUGUUGUUUAGUUACAAUGUGGGUUGAGAUUCAAAGUAACAAGGCCACGGAUGGACACGGCGUCCGGUGAACUAAGGCUUUGGAUAGUAGUAACCAAGGUUCUAACACAGUUCCCAAACUGCAACCUCUCUCACAUAUAUCAUGGUAGUACAGGACGACACCCGUUCCACGAUUAUUUGUGAGAAGGUCUAGUUUGAGUGUAGUAUCGCGUGACGACUAAAGUUUUGAGACAACACUCAAUUUAGCCACCGCACUACGUCCUAAAAAGGCUAGGAUGGGUUUGGUAACUACGGUUCAUAGCUUCGUCGAACAAUUGAAAGUGAAGUGCCUAAGCAUGACGACACACGCCGACAAUAUCACCUUCAAAAUGCCUCAGCUAUGUGAGAUUGAUCGCAUAAUCCAAUACACGAGGCAACCCCCGGAUCGAAUUGUCGAUUAUAUCUCUACCUAAACAUAAGUUCACUCAGCCCGGGUAUAGGACUUUUGAUAUUCUCACCCCACACGUCAAAUGAAAGUAAACAAAUAUUCACAUAUGUAAGCAAUAAAAUAAAACAUAAAUAUAAACUAAGGAAAACUAGGCGCGACCCGCUUAAAAAAGUCCCCAGUGAAGUCGCCAUUUCUGUUAUCAUGGUUUUUGGGUACCAAGUCAUUAAUUGGACUUGUACCUUUCGACCGUUGAUAUCUCUCUUUUUUCUUGGGAAGGGAAAAAUUGAGAAAAAACCCUUAGAUUCUAAGUUCGGGGGUCGGUUUUACUACGGGAAGGUGUUAGGCACCCGGAGUAACUAUAGUCCUCUAUAGGAGCCGUUUUCCUAAGUCGAUUUUUACGCUUUAUUUUUACCUACUUUUGAAAAUGGGAGGUUUAUUUAGUUAAGAGUGGGGGUGAGAAGAAGUAGAAUUUUGAUUUUAUUUCGGCUUGGAUGAGUUUUGACUCAUUGCCUACGUACCCUUUUAAGGGAUCAAAACCGUUCGUAGUUCUUGCUAAAAAGACUUGUUUUUGUUUUAAUUGUUUGAUUUUAAGUUUUGAAAAUGGUUUUGAAGAAGGAGAUUGGGAGGCUUCAUGAGCAUUAGAUUUAGCAAAAAGUGAGGUUUGAUUAGUGAUUAAAAAAGAAAGUCUAAAUGAUUAAGAUGAAUUGAAUUUUUCUCAAGAAAAAAAAGAAAGGAAAAGAAAUGAAGUGUUGACUUCAUGUUUAUUAUGAAAAUUUUUGAAGUGAAGUUCAAUUGUUUUUUUUUUGGAAAAAAGAUGGAUUUUCUCUAGGUGUUUAAAACCUAAACGCUUAUUUAACCAUACAAUCCUAUGCAUACAUCUAAGGUGAGUGUGUGCGUGUCGGUGCGUCAUAGUGUCCAUAGUCCAUAUUACAAAAAUUGCCUAAAUACAUUCUAUGGCCCCUUUGCCAAGCUACAAACCAAUGAUGACAAAUUACAUCACUAAAUGAAUUAAAACUUGCAAAAAUAAAUGCUAGGCUAAAGAGGGUGGAGGGAAUGCUAAAUGGGAUGCAUGAAACAUGGGAAUAAACUUGUUAGUCAAAAGAAAAAACAUAAUAAGCACUAAGAAAUAAAAUCAUGCAAGAUGACACAAAAAGUUAACAAAAUGACAUUAAACCCUAAAAACUUAGGUAUGAAACCUAAAGCAUCCUUGGCCUCUAAUUCUCAUGCUUUAACAAAUUUUGAAAGAGUUUUCUUUAUCUCAAGUUAUAGCAUGAAAUUAUUGGAAACAUGCAAGCAUGGUUUCAUGCCAUAUUUUCUAGAAUAAACUUGGCAUUUUAUAUCUUUCAAAAUAUGCAUAUAUUGCUCAUAAAAUCAAGCACUCAUGAACCAAAUCAAAACAGCAAAACAACACGAAAUUAUAGGCACAAAUUUCUCAUAUUAACACAUCAAAAAGCUUUUAUCACAUAUUCGCACAUCAAGGACAAAUGUAUGAAGAAGAAUCCAUAACAAAUAAUUCAAAGAGAAUUAAAAUGCUAUGAAUUAACCAUACCAAAAUUUCAUAGAUCCUUAAUGUGCAAAAAUGUCAUAAAAACACUAAGAAAAUAUCAGGAAACAUGCAUGAAUUUUUCUAGGAAUUUUAUCACAAUUUUAAUCAAGACAUAGGUACAGGUAGCAAAAAUAGAGGUGUGAAAAGCACAGGAAUAGCAAAACGUAAAGAUCCAAAGGAAACAAAGGCCCAACCCAAAACCCUAAGGAACCGGAUUCACAGGAGCCACAGGAUUGAUCCAGGGUCCUGAAACCCUAGAUCAAACGGCCUGGAAUCAACAGGAUUGGACCGGUCUUGGACCGGUCUGGUUCACUAGCUUAUUUAAAAGGCAUGGCACCGGUUUUCUUCAUUUUUCACUCCCCUUUCUCUCUCUAGCUCUUCUCUCUUCUCUCACCUCUCACCUCUCUCUAAACCUCGCCGCCGGCGAGGAUGAAGCUACGGCGGAGACCUUGAAGGUCCGCCGGAAACUUCAUCUUCUCCGGCGAGUUCAUGCAGUUUCCGGUGACCUAAAUUUCCAGAUUUCAAAGAUUCUUACUUCGUUUGACUCGUCCUUUAACCCUAAACACGAAUCCGGCAUUUGUUUUUUCAAAAACGGCUUUGAACGACGUAGAUCUUGAAAAAGCUUUUACGGUUUUGAAAUGAUUUUUGAUUUUUUUGAAUGAGAUCAUUUAGAUCUUUAAAGAUCUACAUCGUUUCGUCGUUUGAUUACUUUUUGACGCCUGUUUUCGCUUUCAAAACGUUGAUCCUUACGGAUCUGGAUUUUGAUGUUUACGGUUAUAGUUUUCUUUGAAUUCUGGAACCUUUGGAUCUGUUUUGCUUGCGUGAUUUUUAGGUUUAACAGUGAUAUUGCUUUUGAAAAAGAGUAUGAGUUUUACCUAAGGUUUUGGUUGAAACCUUUAAUGGAGAAAUUCUUUGGAAAACUUCAAUCUCUGAUGCUACGUGAUUUGGCUUUGAAUCCGGAAAUAAACCGGUGUUCCUGCUGGUUUCUUGCUUUAUCGCCUUCUUCGCCGGUUUAAACCUUCAUCAUCUUUCUUUCUUCUUCGUCUUCCUCACUGUAUCUUCGUGAUCGGUGCUGGAGUUUGCCUUUGGCGAAUUCGCACUUCGAAUUGCGAAGAUAUUGAUUCAAUGAUGAUGAUUCUUCAAAGAAUCACUGAGAAUCCAUGAAAAAUAGCUUGAAUUUGUGUAGUUUCUGUUUCUGGAAAACGGUUAGGUUUUUUGUUCUUGGUGUUCUUGAUGAAUCUGAGGAAUUUUUUCUGUUUUGAUUCAGUUGCUGAGAAAGAGAAAAUUUGGAAUGUGUUUAUGAGUUGGCGUGUGUUCUCUGGCUCUGAGUGGCACUGUGCACCUUUUAUAGCUUGACAUGUGUGUAUCUGAACAAAUGAGAAAGUGACACCUGGACCUGAAAAAAAAAGAUGGCACGGCCUUGGGCAAAAAAUGAAAUUGGACCUUUCUGCAAAAUUGAAAAAAUAAGGGACUAAACUGCAAUUGACAAAAAGGACUGAAAUGUAAAAAAAGAAAAUUCUGGACUGAAAUGCAAUUUUGGGACCUCACUUGAGGGACCAAAAUGCAAUUAAAAAAUAAAAUUGAAUAAAAAACGUAAUUUGACCCAACGUAAAGCGAAACAAAAAAAUAAAAUUGACAAAACGGACUAAAACGAACCAAUGGCCUAAAUGAGGUACUUCAAAGUAACCUCCCCAUGCCAAAAUUUUAUGUGAAAUGACCAAAAUGCCCCUAGGGCUAAAAACGACCUAAACAGAUUCAAAUUGACCUGACACUGACUCAGACGCAAGUUUGAAAUGAAUUUUAACAAAGUUUACUGAUGAAAUGUUUAAAAGUAAUCUGAAAAGACUCAGAGACAGUCACAAGGAUGAAAAUGGGUCCCACUGCAGGAAAUGACCAAAAUACCCUUCUGUAUGACUUUUUGCAAAUUUUGGAAUAAACUGUAGAAAAAGCAAUGUAAUGAUCCAGAGACACUUUUGAAUGACUUACAAGACAAGUAAAGACAUUUUGAAAGGUUUUAUGCAAGAAAAACAUAGGUAAAAUUGUGAUUGAAAAUACUGCGAGGCAGAGACAAAUUGAACUGUGCAGUUGAAAUUUGAUAAUUGACAAAGUUUGAAAUGAAAUUGGGCCCAGUAUUUUUAGGUCCAAAAACAGGGUAUAACACCUCUAAUCCCAACAAAGGAGAUUUAGCUACUCAUUGUCAUGGAAGCCUUGCAAGAAUGAAUUGAAGAAGCAAGAUUCAUUACAACUUGUGAUGUCUCAACAAAGGAUGAAGAAUCCACUCUCUAUCACUCUCACUCUAUAAAGCACAAGCCCUAUCUCUCUCUCUCUAAGAAUAUUACAAGUGAAAAACUAAGAGAAAAACUAUCUAAAAACUAUAUAAAAAACUAUCUUUUUCUGAAAUGGUUGAGUGGGCUAUUUAUAGAAUUCUGAGUCUGCCUUCACUCGCCUCGCGAGCUGCUUCAUUCGCCAAGGCGAGUUGAAGUUUCUUCCCCAUUGGGUUUGUGCCACGUCAGCAUUUAGAGGCUAAACCGCCCUUACUCGCCUCGCGAGUCCUUCCAUUCGCCACGGCGAGUAAGCUCGCCUUCUACUCGCCAUUGCGAGUUGGUGGCGUGUGAUCUUUGUUGCAUUCUGGAAUUGCUCGCCUUUUCUGCUUGCCAUGGCGAGUUGGAGGCGAGUGAUCUCCUUUUUCUGCCUUUUUGUACUUUUCUCGAUUUUCUUCUCUUUGCUUGAUGUCUUGAGUUCGAAUCCUGCACAAAUGGGUGAAGUAAGAUAGAUAAAGCGUAAAAGGGCAAUAAUCACUUAUUUCUCGGCUUUUCCCUUAAUAACUUGCAAAACAAGUAACAAAAGUGCCUAAAAUAUAUCACUUAAAUUACAACUUUCUAGCACUUAUCAAACUCUCCCCAACUUAACUCUUUGUUUGUCCUCAAACAAAAUCUUGAAAAUCAAACAAGUUAAUAUGACAAGACACAAGUACAAAAGGUUUGAAAACAUUUUUAGAUGAAUGAUUCAAAGAGAAUGCGCGGGCAAGUCUGAGUUUCCAACUAAUCUGGAAUUCUACCACAAAUAUGAAAUGAGUUCUAUGCACAAAGUUCAUGUCAAAUAGUUCAAGUCAAUAAAACAUUUAUUCACGAACCACACCUAACACACUUCUUUGUAAGUAGAUAUGCAAUUGAAAUCAAAUGAGUGAGGGUUAUGAACACACAUCCGGCAAUCAAGUUAACAUCCAAAUCAAGUUAUAUGUCCAUCCAAUUAUCAUUUCAAAAAGCAUAAAAACAUGGAUCAAAAGGUCUUUUAGGGUUGUAAUUUGGCUUGGCUACAAAAGAAAGGACAUUUGUGGGUCAAUUGAAUUCAAAUGGUCAAGCAUAAGGGAACAUUCCUUCUAUUCACAUUCAAAAGACAAAUUUACUAGAAUUCCCUAACAAACCCUUGGUGUUAAAACAUGAUACUCCUUGAUCUUGACAACUUAUUCUAUUUUUGGAUUUUUCUUUCUUUUUCUUUUUCUUCUUUUCUUGUUUUUAUCAUGUACACAUUUUUCUUUUUCUUUCUUUUUUCAUAUACAAACAAUGUUGUCUUGAUCAAAAUUUCUGAUUACACCAAUUCACUUGACAAAUGAUGAACAUCUACCUUUUCUCCCCAACUUGAAUGAAAACAUACCCUAUUUGAAUGUUCCCUUAAUCUAUGGCAAAAAGGGACAAAUAACAAUGAAGGUUUAGGGUUCAACAAUUAAAACAUAUCAAGGUCCGAUAGUGCAACAAAAAUGAACUGGAUUUUGAAAAAUAUAGGGCGAAUUCAUCAAGCAUUGUGCUUAUGAAUUGACAGUUCAUAAUUGAGGACCUUGCUUCAUUUGGCUCAAGUGGGUUAACAAAUACUCGCUCUUCUCACAAGGUAGGCUAUUUGUGGUCAAGUAUGUUUCUCUCAUUAAACAAAAUAUGCCUUGAUCCUUUCCAUGUCUUUACACAAUUUAAAACAAAUAUUAGAUUUAACAUAAAAUGACCGAGUUAAAACAAUGAAUGCCGGUCUCCUUGCAUAUAGUACAAAUAUUUGAGGUUUCCUCACUUUUUAGCUAGUACUAAGUGGUUCACAAACAAACACAUUAUCGAGGAGAACUAAAUGAAUUGAAAUUUGUGCAAAGUACUCGUUUCCUAUUCAAGUAAAAACCUAGAAAAACUGGAAACUUGUACCUUGGCUUUGCGCUUUAUCACAAACCAUCUGUUAUUAUCAAUCAUCUGAGAAUUUUGCUCAAGUUUUGGCUCUUUCAAGCGCUUUGAAAUUUGAAGCUUUGAGCAUUUUCUUUUCAAUAAGCAAGAGUGAUAAACUAAAGAAACUUCCACAAUUUUCAAAACAAAGUACUUGAUAUAAACCAAAAGUGCUAAUAUAAAACAACACAAUACAACUUUGAACAAUACGAAUAUGAAUACGAAAAUACCAAAAUAAUUAAACAAAAUGCUAACUAAACAAAGUGAGUCAUUGUGCUAAAUUUAAAAUAUGAACAGAAGCAAAUAUUGUCAGAAGAAAUGAAAGAGAAAGAAAGAAUAGACUGAAAGCUUUAUAAAAAUGUCACUCAAUAAACGGUGAGCUUUCAAAGUCAUUCUUUUCCUCUUUCAACCCUGCAUGUCAUGAUCAUCUGAACCACCAGUUGCACUUGGGACUCUGUCUGGAUCGUCUCUGUCAGAAUCUCCCAUCAAUAUAUCGUCAGAAAGCGUCCCGAACGAUGAUCCACCCCCUCCGUAAGGAUCUGGCCUGCCCUCAGGCCAAGAAACAUGAGCCUGAUAGGCCUCUGGUGUCAUGAAUUGUGACAUCACCUCCGGUGGGUACCCAGCCUGCUGCUGCAUCACAUACUGAGACUGCUGAAGAUAUGUAUUAGCACGGUUGGUUGCGUCCAGCAUGUUCCAUGUAUGGGUAUGGCACUGGUAUUGCCAUUGAGCGAAGCUUGAAAAGUCAAAAGCAGCAGUGUGUGGGUCUAGAUGUGGUGGAAAGUGGGGUUGUGGUUCAGAUGAUGGUUGAGGUCGUGGUGGAGGUGCCCCAGAAGAUGAUGCUUGUUUGCUUUUAUCCUUCUUUGUUUCACCCAUAAUGUAUCGGGUGAUGAAAGCAUCAUUGAUCGGGUUCCGGAUCUUCUCAUGGACACUGGUUGGUAGGCGCAUGCCGGUAUCUUUAAUGAGUCCCAUGAUUAAACCGGGAAAAAAGAGACGAGCUUCUCUUUCACCUCUUCCUUGCAGGGUGACCAUUCGGAGUUCCCAAGCAAUGGUCCGGGCAAUAUCUACCUUGAUCCCCUUGAGGAUGUAGUAGAUUAAAGGACACACCUCGACAACACAAUCAGACAGAUGACUAUUGGGCCUGACAUUAUAAAGAAUGAAUUUUUGGAUAAUUUUGGCCUCAUUGGUCAUGAAUUUGUAUUGGGCCCGAUACUCUCUCCCUGCAUCACUGAUGUCAUAGUUAUAGUCUCCCAACAAGAGAAAUCGUUUGAUUUCUUCAUGGGGGCCCGGGAGGAUAAAGUGGCCAAGGUUUUGCUUCUCAUGAAAGUCAUCAAGGUCGUCUGGGUAGGCUAACUCAAAGGGGUUGCCAAGGUAUGUAUUUAUUGCCUCACGGUCAAACCGGAUAGUUCGACCCCUCACAAAAGUUUCGAAUGUAAAUGGGUCAGUGUGUGGAUUUUCAGGUAGGGCAUUGGCAUAAAACUCACGCACUAACUCGGCAUUAAUAUCUGUUAUGGGUUGAAGGAGUCGUUCCCAUCCUUGAUCGAGUAAAAGUUUGGCAAUUUCUUUAUAGGGUCCCUCGGGAUUAAGGUUAAAGACCCUCUCACACCACAUGGAUUGGUCAAGCAGUUCAAUAUAUCUAUCUUGAUGGUAGCGAGACCUAAAUCUCUCCCUCUCAAAGGCUUGGUUUCUAGGUGGGGGUCGGGUUGCGGAUGUUUCUCCUUUCUUGCGUUUACCAGUGUUAACGGGUUUCUUUGGAGCCAUACCUGCAAACACAACCAGGAAUUCCACAAACACCAAACAGACAAUUAAAUAUCAGUAUGGAACAAAAAAUAUUGCAUGUUCUGUUACCACUCGCCUCGCGAGCAGGUGCACUCGCCAUGGCGAGUAGUUGAAAUUUUCUGGGUUUCAGAUUGCUCACUCGCCUUGGCGAAUGAUGAAGCUCGCCAUGGCGAGUUGCCCAGAAAAUGACAAAAAUCGACCCUUUUUCAAAAUUUCUUUCAGUUUCAACAUUCUUAACCCUAAAUAUAGUAAUUCCGACCCUGAUAAUGACAAAGAGAUGAACUAAAUCAUGCUUUUGAGUUGAAUGUCGAAUUAUACCACAAAAACCCUAAUUUUAAUUUUAUUUUUAAUUUUUACAAAAGGGUUAACAAAAAUGUGGAUUGGAAUCAGAACAACCACGAAUUUGGGCAUGAUUAUGUUUCAUCUGAGUCAUGUAGGUAUCAGUUUGAAGAACAUUACACUAUCUACUACCCUAGGGUUUUUUUUUUUUUUUUUUUUUUUUUUUUUUUUUUGCAUGCAAAUUUGAAAUGAAUGGCAACAAAGUGAAUACAAACCUGAAUCAGAAGUAAUCUAAGUGCAGAAAUGAGUAUGCAAUAAGCUUGACUUGGAUUGACUUGAUAAAUUGGAAAAAGGGUAGUGUUGAGGUGUUAGGGUUUGAGAGAAGGAAGAAAAAAUUUGUGUGGUUGAUGAGAGAGAAAUGCAAAACCGAAAAUGAUGAAUUAAAGUUGGUAAAGGGUGGUUAAGAGAGAUUAAUGAGGGAGUUAGUGGCUUUGAAAACUGAAACUGUCAGAACUGCUGCCAUUCGCCUCGCGAGCAUAUGUAUUCGCCAUGGCGAGCAAUUUGGUGGUCAACGCAGUCAAAGGACAGUUUUACUCGCCAUGGCGACUAGUUGUACUCGCCUCGCGAGUAAUGACAGUUCAGACUUUGCUUUCUUUUGGCUUCUGAUUUGUGAAUGGUUUUGGUAUGCACAUGACUCCUACACCUAGUAUGCAUUAUAAAAAUAAAUAACUUACAAAGUUGGGUUGCCUCCCAACAAGCGCUUGUUUAACGUCGUUAGCUCGACGCCUUUUUCGUUAGGGUGGCCAAAAUGAAACGGACAACACAUCAUCUUUUGUAAUCCUGCGUGUUGGGAGGAAUUCCAUGAAUUUGAAGUAUAAUUGAUGUGGAGUCCAUAUCCUCCCUAACUUUGGUUUAUUGAACAAGGCACAAAUCUCAUCUAUGAUCCGAUCAAUCUCCAACUUGUUCACUUUCUUCCCCUUUCCUUCCAUUGAUUCUUCCUUGAUUAGUAUCCGAUCCUCUUUCUCUGUCACCUCCAUCACUUCUUCAUUUUCAACAGUUUCGACCUCUUCAGUAUAUGGCCGUUCUUGAGGAAAUUCUUCUGGAUGUAGUGGCUCUAAUUCUUCCACCAUUUUCAUUGUGCUACAUUCUUCUAGUAUUAUGUCUUCCUCGGUAUCAUCAACACCUUCUUCAACAAUCUUUCCGACUUCCACAAAUGUAUUUGAAUUAUUUUCUUGUUUUCUGUGAGUGGAUUGAAUGUUGGCUUGAAUAUCCAUGAUUUGUUCUUGCAUUAUUUCCAUCUGCAAGGAUAGAUUCUUCAAUCUCUGAUUGGUAUCCUGCAUGUUUAUCAUGGAUUGCUGCAUGAAGAUAUUCAAAGUAUUUUCCAUCUUUGAUAUUCGUUCAUCUUCAUAGGGAUGUUGUUGAUACUGUUGAUAUGAUUCAUACUCCAAUGGAGUGUAGAAGUUGUUAUAACCAUGAUCAGCCAUGAUUGCAUUUAUGUAGAGAAUCUGAAACGGAUAUAACUAACAAGAAAUUUUUCUUUGUAUGCAAAGAGGGGUUAGUACCAAUAACUAUACAAAAGAAAAUAUAUUUACAGAGUAUUUACUAAUGCUUAAAAUGAUAAAAUAGUCGCGAUGUCUACGAUAUCUAAACGCCAGUCCCCGGCAGCGGCGCCAUUUUGAUGUAGUAUUUUUNNNNNNNNNNNNNNNNNNNNNNNNNNNNNNNNNNNNNNNNNNNNNNNNNNNNNNNNNNNNNNNNNNNNNNNNNNNNNNNNNNNNNNNNNNNNNNNNNNNNUUUUGCAUCAAACAAUUGUAAGUAUUUAUAUCGUCUCCUCAGGGACUAGUGCGAUAUCGCGGACCGUUCGACACCAAAUAUCAUUUCAAGUUAAACGAUAGUUGAUUGUUUGUUUUAGUAACUGAAUUGCAAAUGAUACAAUUGAGAUUAAUAGGGCGUAAAACUUGUUAGGAUUAGAGUUCCUUGAUCGAGCGUCGCACGUAACCUAAUGAUCAUACAUGGAUUCUAGCUUUUCUUUGAUAUUAUCACGUAUCCCUCGACAACACCAUUCGUGUCCAAACAAUAUUGUGAAAUCAAUUGUAUCAUUCAAUGGUCGAUGUCUCAAACUAUUGAAUGAUUCAAGAGUCGAUCUUAUCGUUCAAUCGAUGAUUUCUCAAUCUAUUAAAUGAUAAGAAAGCUUUAGGUUUGGAUACUCAAGGUGAUUAUCAAAACAUCGAUUCCAUGUCUAGAAACUAUGUUUUGAUAGAUGGUUAUUCUAAACCUAGAUUCAAAAGUAUUUCUCAAUCACAAUUAAAUCAAAGAUAAAGAUUAAAGUGCAAGAAUAACCUCAAUAUCAAUUCAAAUGCUAGAACCAUAUAUUUAUAGAUCAAACGAUUACAUGUUAAACUAUGAUCAAGUACCUCUAAUCCCAACAAAGGAGAUUUAGCUACUCAUUGUCAUGGAAGCCUUGCAAGAAUGAAUUGAAGAAGCAAGAUUCAUUACAACUUGUGAUGUCUCAACAAAGGAUGAAGAAUCCACUCUCUAUCACUCUCACUCUAUAAAGCACAAGCCCUAUCUCUCUCUCUCUCUAAGAAUAUUACAAGUGAAAAACUAAGAGAAAAACUAUCUAAAAACUAUAUAAAAAACUAUCUUUUUCUGAAAUGGUUGAGUGGGCUAUUUAUAGAAUUCUGAGUCUGCCUUCACUCGCCUCGCGAGCUGCUUCAUUCGCCAAGGCGAGUUGAAGUUUCUUCCCCAUUGGGUUUGUGCCACGUCAGCAUUUAGAGGCUAAACCGCCCUUACUCGCCUCGCGAGUCCUUCCAUUCGCCACGGCGAGUAAGCUCGCCUUCUACUCGCCAUUGCGAGUUGGUGGCGUGUGAUCUUUGUUGCAUUCUGGAAUUGCUCGCCUUUUCUGCUUGCCAUGGCGAGUUGGAGGCGAGUGAUCUCCUUUUUCUGCCUUUUUGUACUUUUCUCGAUUUUCUUCUCUUUGCUUGAUGUCUUGAGUUCGAAUCCUGCACAAAUGGGUGAAGUAAGAUAGAUAAAGCGUAAAAGGGCAAUAAUCACUUAUUUCUCGGCUUUUCCCUUAAUAACUUGCAAAACAAGUAACAAAAGUGCCUAAAAUAUAUCACUUAAAUUACAACUUUCUAGCACUUAUCAGGGGCAUCUGCAGACCCGGUUCGGUUGACAAGUUUACGGAAGAAGAUGAUUGAGUUAAUGCUAUGGAGCCUGUUAUUUCUGCAAAAGACAAUGAUUUUCUCACAGCUUCGUUUCAGGUCCAGGAAUUUAAGGAUGCAAUGUUUUCUAUGCUUCCGGAUAAAUGUCCAGGUCCAUAUGGUUUUAAUCCUGUAUUUUUUCCAUCAUUUUUGGUCUAUCGGUAGUCUUGAUAUCUUUAAUGAAUGUUUUCUUUAAGAAGCUAAAUUAGCCCACUAAAUUGGCAUUGGAGAGAAUCGAACCUGAGAUCUUGAAGAUCUUUAAUGAAUGUUGCUCGUGGCUUAAUCACAAUCACUUUCUACCUUCACUUAAUUCCACAAAUAUAGCUUUGAUUUCCAAAGGUACUGAUUGGCAGCCUAUAACUUUGUGUAAUGUUCAAUAUAAAUUGGUUGUCAAAGUCCUAGCUAAUAGACAUAAGAGUAUCCUCCAUAAGUGCAUCUAUGACAAUCAACCAACUUUUGUUAUGGGGCGCUCCAUCAUUGACAAUGACAUGAUAGCUAUCGAAGUUGUGCACCAUAUGAAAGUUAGUAAGCGUGUUAGAUAUGAAAAAAAAAUCUCUCAAGCUUGAUACUAGUAAUGCCUAUGAUCGUAUUGACUGGUUAUUGUGGUGUGUAUCGAAGCUGUUGACUAUUCUGUUAUUGUGAACAAUGAUUUGGAAGACCUAUUAUUCCCGGAAGAGGUUUACUUCAAGGAGAACCUUUAUCACCUUAUCUUUUUAUUUUGUGUGUUGAACGAAGAUGGGAUAUCCACGACAUUUCUAUUUACAUAAAUGCACUUGUUAUUUCUCACCUUUUAUUUGUCGAUGAUUGUUUCUUAUUUUUCAGGGCUAAAGAGCGAUAAGCUCUAACCAUGAAAAGUAUUCUUUAGACUUACGAGGUAGCCUCCUGUUAAGCUAUUAGUCUCCCAAAGUUUGAGGUUUAUUAUUGUAGCAGUGUAUCAAAUCCGUUGAAGGAUUCCAUAACCCUCAUCUUAGGAGUUAGAGCUGUUAUGGGAACAGGGAAAUAUCUUGGCUUGCCAUCGAUGGUUCGUCGAAGUAAAGAAGCAACUUUUAGUUUUAUCAAAGACCGUAUUUGGCAUAAAAUCAAUCCAUGGAGAAGAAAGUAUCUAUCCAAAGUGGGUAGAGAGGUAAUGAUCAAGUCAGUGCUUCAAAAUAUUCCAUCUUAUAUUAUGAGUAUCUUUCUUUUUCCAAAUAAGUUAGUCGAAUCCAUGGAAAAAAAAUUAUAAAUUCUUUUUGGUGGGGCCAUGGAUGAUUAAUGAGAAGAGGGAUGCAUUGGUUGUCUUGGGAGAGAUUAUCAAUUCAUAAAAAUUAUGGAGGUAUGGGUUUCAAGGAUCUCACAUCUUUUAAUGUGUCUAUGUUGGGGAAACGAGGUUGGAAGUUCCACACUGAUACAUCGAGUCUUAUUUCCCAUCUUUUUAAGGAGAGAUAUUUUUCUAAUUGUGAUUAUUUGAGUUCUCGAAUUGGUCACAAUCCCAGAUAUGUGCGACGUUGUAUUUUUCGUGUUAAGAUUGUUGUGAAUUAGGGUGCAAGGUGGCAUAAUGAGGGAAUUGCAUUAUCUACUAACAACCCUAUGUAUGCCUCCCUAGCCCAUUUUACGGUGAAAGAUAUUAUUCACCCAUUCAGAAAGGUAUGGAACACUCCUUUAAUUUAUAAUCUCUUGAUCCGAUUACAGCAUGACUCACUGUGAACACACCACUCCAACCUCUUGUCACUGAAGAUAAAUUGAUUAGGAAAGUGGAAAAGAAUGGUAAAUAUUCUGUUCAUAGUGCCUACUGCCUUUGAGUUACAGAAAUUGCAGAUAACUCUCAUUUACUCUGGAGCAAUGGAGUUCCAUGUGAAAGUUAAAGGUUCCUCCUAAGGUAAACAAUUUUUUAUGGCGAGUUUUUAGAGGAUACUUUUCCAACAAGAGCCCAUCUUAGUAGUCAAGGGGUGCGUUGUCCUAUUGAUUGUGUUCCUUGUGGGAAUAAUUUUGACGAUGGUAUCCAUGUCUUAUUGAAAUGUCUUGGUGCUAUCCAAGUAUGGCAUCAUGUUAAUCUUUGGGACAAAAUUAAUAGUACUCUCUGACAAGAUUAUAAUAUGAAUGCUAUGAUUUUUCAUUUUUUGCAUCAAUUUUCUCCAGCUCAGAGUGAGCUGUUUGCCACAAGUGAAUCUUUGCUCCAUUUAGCUAUACUUUAUUUAGUUCAUUUAAGAUUAUGUCUACAAAACAUGUGGCACAAAAAUAUCUACUGGCUGAAAUUGAAAAUAAUACAAAAAACAAGUAAAACAUUGUUCCAUUGUAUUCACGCUCCUCCCUCUUCAUCUACACACAACCGCUGCUCUUCUCCCUUUCUCUCAUAUCGUCAUCAACCACCAUCCAGCCGUCGUCCGUCGCCGACCCUUUGCAUCAAUCGAGUCAUAAGUUCGUGUCGAAUUUCCAGUAUUUGGUCUGUGUGAAGACAAUAACCCCCUUACUGCAUCCUCAUUCUCAUUCCAAUUUCCCAUUCAGAAUUUUAAGGUUUAUCAUCUGAUUCCAAACAUAUCAUUUGACUAAUUCUUAAACAACAACAACAAACAAACAAACAUUGCUAUUGCAGUUUAAUAUUCCAAUUUCAUAUACAUAAUAUCAAAAUUAACAACAUUAACUGACUAAAUAACUAAGAAUGAAUAUUUCUAGGGUUUCAAAAAAAAGAAACAAUAAACAAAAUUAAGAUGAGUAAUGAAUGACCUGAUGCAUUUGUAGGAGCGAAAGUGCAUUUAACGAUUGCAAUUUUAGAAUUGAACAACGGAAAGAACGGAGUCUCAGGAACAAUGAGAGAAGGUGUAGAGGAAGGAAGAUGUUUUUGCUUAUGUGGAGCGGUAGGGUGGGACGACGGUACCCUGGUGGCAACGCCGGCGCUGACGAAAGGGUGAUGGUGGGGCGGCGUUUUUAGGAGAUGAAGGAGUGUGUUGUAUCAUAGGAGGAAGAGCAGAGGCGUGUGUUUAUUUUCCAAUAAACAAGUAUUUUUUUCGAAGCCUUUUAAUCUCAGCCAUUGGUUUUUUAUUUUUCACAUGUCAAACAUCCAUGAAGUGAAUUGGUAUAAAUGGAGGCUCUCUAAAGGAAGCAAAGAUGCACUCGUUAGCCACGAGAAUGUGGAGCUUGUGAAAACGGCGGAGUCUCAAACUAUGGUAGCAACAAAAUGAAACAAAUAUGCAGGUUGUUGAACGUGCUACACAUCUUCUUGAUGAAUGGAGAGCAGCCAAAAAUAUUAGGUCCCGAAUUGCGGCAAAUUCUAGUAAUGAUAAAAACGGGCAUGUGGAGCUUGUGAUAAACAAAUUCUAGUAAUGAUAAACAAAAUGUUAGGUCCGUGAAUUGUAACAUUGAUGCCUCUUUUUUCUAGUCAACGAAUAUGGUUUGUAUAUGCAUAUGUUUGCGAGAUUUUGCAUGUAAUUUGUGAUUGCAAAAAUUGAUUGCUUCUCUCCCCUUUGUCAAGUUGAUAUAGGAGAGGCUUUUGGGAUGUCUACGACUUUAAAUUGGAUAUCAAACUUUCAAUAUGAUAAUGUUGGUUUUGCUUUAGAUUCUAAGAAUGUCGUUGAUCAGUUUAGGUCAGUAAUAGAAGAUAAUAGUGAAUUUGGUUGUAUUAUAUCUGACUGUAAAAACUUGUUCCAUCAUAGGUAUCAGAACUCUCAUGUCGAGUUCAAUAGAAGACAAGCUAAUGAGGUCGUUCACGAGUUAGCUCAGGUAGCCCUAGGUCAUGUUAGCUCCCACAUUUACAAUAACGCAUCGUCAUGUAUUUCGUACAUUAUAGCUAAUGAACAACACUGUAUUUUCUUUCUUAAAAAAAAUUAUUUGGUGCAAAUCAAUAGUACAAAUCAACGAUGUUAGUAUCAAUGAUUUAUUUUUUGUUGAAGAAGUUAGUAUCAAUGAUUUUCAGGUAUAUUUAGAACAAUACAAAAAGUUCUUAAAAAAUGAUUUUUUUUUUUUUAAGAAGUUAUUAUCAAUGAUUUUCAGGUAUAUUUAGAGCAGUACAAAAAAGUCUUAAGAAAAUAUUCUUUUUUCACAUGAAAUGAAUUAAAUAUAAAUAUUUGAAACACAAAAUAGUGUUUUCUGGAUGAGUUUUGGUUUAUCCAUAAAAAAAGGUUUGAGAUUCUCCCAUAUCAUUUGAAGAUUCUUUGUUUUUAGAGCAUACUAACAAAUGACUAUAUAAAUUAGCUUAUAAUUGAUAAAAACAAAAUACAAAUUAGCUUAUGGGACACCUAAAAUCGGAAUUUUUCUAUUAUAAAAAGGGCAGGCCGGUCUCACCAACUAGUGUAUUGUAGCAGUUUUAUCAUAUUUUUACAUAAAAACCGUUUUCAAAAUUUGAGCUUGUGACCUUUCAAUCAUGUUACGUGGCAUUUGAAAAAUAUCUUAAUCAACAUUUUUUCAUAAAUAAUUCAAAAAAAACUAUUUAUUUUUAAAAUUCUUUAUCACAUCCAUCAACAAACUUUGAAUUAAAAAAAAAAAAUCAUCAAUAAACUCAUGAAAAAAACGAAAAAAUUCUACAAAAAAUAAAUAAAUAAAGUCGUUUUUUUAUGACCUAUUAGGGGGUAUUCCAAAAAAAUAAAAUUACAGCGGGUAAAUCAAAAAAAAUAUUUUACAGGGAGGAAAACAAAAAAUGAUCUAUAUUACAGGUAAAGCCAGUGGCAGAUCUUAGUAGAGACCCUUGGGUGCCAUGGCAUCCCCUGGGUUUUCAAUAUAUACCAUAUUAGACAUAUUAUUUUAGUAAGUUUUGAAUUGUCGCAGCAGUAAGCUAGUCUUAUAGUCCCACCAACGGUCGCGAGUGAGUUCGACACUCACGCCAUCUUUUUUGACAUUUUUCUCUCGUAUUUACAUUUUUUAUUCAAAAAAAACCACUAGCAGGGAUUCAAACCUGCAUCCCACUUGGUGCUUUCAAACAAUUUAAACCAUUACAGCAAGUGAUUAUUUUUAUCUACUUUUUGAAACUGGUUUACAUAUAUUUCAUGGUGGUUUGGCACCCCCAAUAAAUUUACUCAAGAUCCGCCACUGGGUAAAGCACCAUUAACCCCAAAAUAAACGAAAAUCUACAUUAACCAAAUUACAACACCACAUCAAAUCUACAUUUGACAAACUCAAAAAAUUCUAGAUAUGAGAUUAAUACAAUAAAAACCUAGAAUCCAAUUCAAGAACUGUUAAAUUUGGUAACAACCUUGUACAUUCCAAAACAACAUUCAAUGAGAAACUCGUCAGUAUCAGGGGUAAAUUCGUCGGUGUCAGGUAUUAUAAAUCUCCCUUUUUGAUUCUGCCCUAUGAAGCAUGCAAAUAUGGCCGUUGAAUCACACCUGAUAUGUUCUGAUACAUUGUCGAUACAUAUUUAAAGAGUGUCCAAAUUUUUUAAUUUAAACUAAAAAAUAAAAAUUUGGAUUCGUCACCGACACGUUGUCGUCAACACGUUUCUAAUAUGCCUUUGAUACAUCUCAUGAUUGUUCAAUUUUCCCCUCCUUAAUUAGAUGAAUGUAAAUUAUAAUAUAUACCCAGUUAAUUUAUUAGAAUUUUUUAAGUUUUCUUUCUUUUUCCCAUAAUUCUCUUACGGUUGCAAAUUGAAAUCACAGCUAACUAAGAGUGCAUAUAAUAUGUCAUACUUACCAAUUGUGAACAAAUCACUAUAGAGGAUAGAGUUCCGAGCUUUAUUUUAAUUUUUAUGUGUAUGUUAAAUGCAUCGUAUUCUAUAUUUUUCAAUGAUUGAUGUCCGUAUUUAUACGUGUGGUAUCUGAUACUCGUAUUAUGUCCAUGAAUAAUAGAUUCAACCAAACAACUAACAACCAUACCUUUAAAAUUCUAUCUUGGGGCACAUGAGAGUGCACCCAAAGCCAUGAUCUAGGCGCAUAAACCAUGCUUUAGGCGCAUGGUGCUGCCUCAUGGGCACAGGUUCUCCGAUUUCCCGUCUUUUUAGGUCUUCGUCUUCAAAUAACUUGCCUCGGAACUUAGGAACAUAAUUCCUCCCACUGUAAAGUCUCAUGAGGUCUCUUGAAUCUUCAUUUUUGGUCUUCCCAAAGUCUUCACAAAUCUUCAGAUGGUCUUGAUUUGUCGAUUUGCAUGAUUUCUUCGUGAAGUACUUCAAAAAACCCCUAAAAUUGUUAUGUUUCGGGAAAACUAGAAUUACAUACUAAAAUAUAGAAAACAUUACAAAAGUCCCGAAAUCAUAUGCAAUCGUUCUAAUACUCCACCUUUUUUGCUGCUAAAAUCUACUAAAAAUGACUGAAAAACAUGCUAAAAAUAACGUAAGAUGACCUGUCAUCAAAAUCAAAACUAACUAAUAGUGCAUAUAAUAUGCCACACUUACAAAUUAUGAACAAACCACUAUAAAGGAUAGAGUUAUGAGUUAUGAGUUUAGUUGGAAGUUCGCCACUUCUAUUAAGCUUGUGUUGUGAUUUCAGUUUAAAAUUUGUAACUAACGUUUACUACUUUAUUUUAAUUUUUAUAUGUAUAUAUUAAAUGUAUUGAAUCCUAUAUUUUCAAUGACUGACGUAUCGAUACGUGUUGUACCUGAUACUCGUAUUGUGUCUGUGAUUAAUAGAUUAGCCAAACGACCAACAACCACAACCUUAAAAUUCUCUCUCCCACCCAUUUUUAGAAACGACCCACAACCAUAGUAUUUUUCUUUGACCUUUUGGAAGCUAGUUUACUAAGUAAUGAAUAAGAUGAGCACCAUACUCCUCAGUUAUUUGUGACACAAGCAAUUGAAGCUUAAUAUAGUUUUAGACUUGGAAGUUUUAUUAUAACUACUGAUGACAUAUCAUCUUUCAAUUUUGAACAAUCCACUAUAAAGGAUAGAGUUCUAAGUUUAGUUGAAAAUUCGCCACUUCUAUUGAGUUUGUGUUGUGAUUUUAGUUUAAAAUUUGUAAUUAAUGUUUACAACUUUGUUUUAGUUUUUACAUGUGUAUGUUAAAUGUAUCGUAUCCUAUAUUUUUCAAUGACUGACAUAUCAAUAUGUGUUGUAUCUGCUACUCGUAUCGUGCCCCGUGAUUAAUAGAUUCAGCCAAACGACCAACAAUCACUGCCUUCAAAUUCUCUCUUCCACCCAUUUUCAGAAACAACCCACGACCAUGGUUUUUGUCUUUGACCUUUUGGAAGCUAGUUUACUAAGUAAUGAAUGAGAUGAGCACCAUACAUAGUCCUCAGUUACUUAUGACACAAGCAAUUGAAGCUUAAUACAGUUUUAGACUUAGAAGUUCUGUUAUAACUACUGAUGACAGACCAUCUUACGUUAUUCUUAGCAUAUUUUUCAGUAAUUUUUAUUUAGUUUUGAUCCGAAAUAGAGGAGUUUUAGAGCUAUUACCUAUGGUUUUGGGGAUAUUUUGUAAUGUUUUCAUUUAUAAUCAUGUAAUUCUAAUUUCUCAAAAACAUAACAAUUCUAAAGUAUUUUGAUGUAAUUCAAAAAGAAAUCAUACAAAUAUAUUUGCUAACAAAAACAAAAGGUGAAUAUUGUUAUAAGAUCAAAUUGAUCUAAAAUUUAAAUUAUUUAAGUUUAUAUAGACAAAUAGUAACCUAACAUACUUAAUCUACUCUAAAAGAAACAUAACAUACUUAUUCUACUAGCUAGUACUACUAUAUUACUCUCUUAGUUUACUAUGUAUACUAUUCAUACAAGACAUUUUAUCAUAUAUGUUUCUAUUAAUAUAAAGAUAAAUAGUAAGAUAAAGAUGUUAGGGUUAAUAGUGUUUUUCACCCCUGUAAUAUAUGUCAUUUUUUGUUUUCGUCCUUAUAAAAUUUUUGGUUUGAUUUGCACCCUCGUAAAAAUUUUAUUUUUCGAAAAACACCCCUAAUAGGCCAUUUUCAGAUUUUUUUUUUUCAAGAAAUUUUGGUUUUUGAAUGGCCUAUUAAGGUUGUUUUUCGGAAAAUAAAAAUUUUACGAGGGUGAAAUCAAACUGAAAAUUUGAUAGGGGCGAAAAAUGAAAAUGACAUAUAUUACAGGGGUGAAAAACACUAUUAACCCAAGAUGUUAUUAGAUUUUUCUUAACAAAAUACUUUUAAAAUAUCUACUCUUAAUUAUCUUUUGUUAAUAUUCCUCUAAUAAAAUAAAUUUUUUUGUAAUUGUCAAAAAUGUGCAUCGCAUGUAAGAAAGUUACACAAACAAACCACUUUUUCAAUAGUCAUAAACAUUUAACCAAAAUCAAUCAUCUUGAUAGGGGGUAGUAUAUGGGACACCACUUGUGUACCAUUAAGGUAUCAAUGUUAUAUAACAUUGACCAAUAAGAGUGUGCCACAUACCAAUGUUACUUUAUAAAUGUUUUAUUUGAUAUAUGUUUUUUAAAGUGUGUGCCACAUGUCACACCUUAAUUGGCUAAUGUUAUAUAACAUAAUGGUACACAAGUGCUAUCCGUAGUAUAUGGCCCUGGCGAAAAGGGGGCCGUCGUAAAAUUCUUAUAAGUUAAUACUCUCUUUUUCGGGGAAAUAUCUUAAUAGCCAAUACUUUUUUUCACAAACACAUGCCAAAAAAACAAUUUCACAAACAAACACGUACAUCACGAGUUUCAAGAUAAUAAGAGAUCAACUUGGAGUUCUAUAUAGUCUUCAACUUCAACAUUGUUACGUACAACCAAACCAUUCAUUGUAGACAUGUCUUUUGCAGUAACAACAACAAUAUUUGCUUUCCUUCUCUUCACUUUCACAUACUUUCUAUUCAAACUAUUCUUGCAUUCAAAACAAAAAACCAUUAUCCAUAAAAAACCACCAUGUCCACCAACACUACCAAUAAUAGGAAAUCUUCACAUAUUAGGCAAACUUCCACAUAGAACACUUCAAUCACUCUCCAAAAAAUAUGGUCCAAUUAUGUCUUUACAACUUGGACAAGUUCCAACAAUUGUCAUUUCAUCUUCAAAAGCAGCAGAAUCAUUCCUCAAAACCCAUGACAUCGUUUUCGCAAACCGACCGAAACUUAUAGGAGCAGAGAUCAUAUCUUAUGGUUGCAAAGGGUUGGCGUUUUCUAAGUACGACCCUUAUUGGCGUAGUGUAAAGAAACUCUGCACUUUGAAACUUCUUAGUGCUUCAAAAGUUGAGAAGUCGGGUCCUAUUAGAACAGAGGAGUUGGGUAUUUUGGUUAACACUUUGAAAAAAGCUUCUUUGGUAGGUGAGGUUGUGAAUGUCAGUGAGAUUGUAGAGAAUGUUAUUGAAGAUAUUGUGUAUAAGAUGAUAUUGGGUAGAGGUAAGUAUGAGCAAUUUGAUUUGAAGAAGUUGGUUCAAGAAGGAUUGGCUUUGAUUGGAGCUUUUAAUCUGGCUGAUUAUGUUCCUUGGCUAGGAAUUUUUGACCUUCAGGUAAGUUUGUCAAAUUAUAUAUAGCUUUUUUAAGCUUAAAUAUGAAAAUGGUCCCUCCAAAUAUUUGGCGUUUGUUUUAGUCCAUAUAAAAAUAUUUUUUUGAUUUUAAUCCCUGCAAAUAUAAAAUAUUUGGUUUUGGUUCUUGGUAUUUUGUUUUAAUCCUUGUAAAAUCAUUUCAUAUUGAAAUUGGUCCCUAUAAUAUUCAUUUUAGUCCUCAUUUUAAGGGACUAAAAUCAAAUAUUCUACAUACUACAAGGACCAAUUCCAAUAUGAAUCAAUUUUACAAGGACUAAAACAAAAUAUCAAAGACCAAAAUCAAAUUUUUUAUAUUUGUAGGGACUAAAAUAAAAAAAAAAUUUACAGGGACUAUAACCAAUCAUAUUUAAGGCCUCUUUUUAAUACAUGGUCAGAUUAAAAAAAUAUAAUUAGAUUUGUAUGAGAAAACGAAAUUAUGAGUCAUUUUAUAAAAUUACCUUUUAUUAAUGAAUGAUAUAGAAAAAAUAAAUUAAAAAAUUUAAAAAAGAUAAAGUAAUAAAUAUUUAAGAAUAUGGAAUAAUUAAUAUGCUAUUGGUUAACGACUAAUAAUUUGAAACAAUUUCCCCUAAAAAAAUUUAUAAUUUAGGCUCUUUUUGUCAAGGUCAAGAACAUAAUUUAUAAAUAAUUUAAAACAAAUUAUGCUCUUUUUGUCAAUUUUCUUAAAUUGUCAUGUUUGAUAACAAUCUUUUUACCAUAAAUUUAUAGCUUAUUUUACUAGCUUAUAACUUAUCUUUCAUAUAGCUUAUAGCGUUUGAAUUUAUAGUGUAUAAUUUAUCAUCUUUUAUUUCAUUGGAUUGAUUAUUAUUUUUUUAUUUUUUAAGGAAACCAUUGGAUUGAAUUAUUUCAGCGACUUAUGUUCCAAUUUGAUUAUUUCUUUUGGCAAUCUUCUAAUUCUAACGAUAACAAACAUAUACUUUUUUCCACUAUAUUUUACUUUGGCUUGUGUAUGUAUUAUAUUAAGAAUUUAAUUCUGUUUUUUUUUUUUUUUUUUUUUUUUUAUCCCUAAUGAUUUUAUUAAAUUUUCUUUUUAAUUUCUGCAAAUCGGAUAUUAUUUUGUUUGUGGGAUAAAAAUAUUAAAUAUUGAUAACAUUUUUAUAAAGAAUUAACAACAUCCUUUGAAGUCAUUUUACAUUUAUCAGCUAGUUAAACCGCGCUACUUUUAUCAAAUACUUCAAUCAGCUUAUAAGUUAUCAGUCAUCAGAUAUCAGCUAUUAGCUAUCAGACAUCAACCAUAAACUAUAAAUUAUAAGUUAACUUUUCAGCUAUUUACUAUUUUUAUCAAACAAAACCUAAAAAAGAGGGAGUAUUAUGUAUAAGAAAUAAAAGAUUAAUCAUUGACUUUAGUUUUAUUUUAAGUCUCAUAAACAAAUUUCCUCAAAAAAAAAAGUCUCAUAAAUAAAUAUCGUGAUUGUAUAUAAUUUUGGUCACUCAAACGUGGUAUUGCACUGUAUUUAUCCUUUACACUGUGUUUGGUUGAGGUGAAAUAGGAAAGAGAAAGAGCAGGCAGAGAAAAAGGUGAGAAGUUCAAAACUUCUCCUGUUUGGUUAGAAAAAGAAAGAGAGAUAAAAACAUGUGGAACCCACAUCUCCUUUUUUUUUUUUGGUAGAUAACCCACCUCUCCUUUUAGUCUCUCCAAAGUAGUGAAGAAACAAAGAAGAAACCCACUUUUUAUUUUUUAUUCCACUAAUGCCCUUGUGAAAUUGUUGCAAGUUUGCAACACGGCACGGACAAAACGGAAGCAUUGGUGUGAUUAGUGAUAAAUUGAUAAUGUGUCCCUUGCCUAAUAUACAGUGAGUAAGCAAACUUUUUAAAUGUACUUAAUAAUUGAUUGAUUGAAUUACAUAAAAACUAUAAUCUGUUUAACUUAAUUCAGUUAAACUAAUUAGUUUAAUUUACCACAAAAAAAAAAAAUUUAAUUGAUAUAAAGUUUAAAUAAAUAAUUUAAUUAAUUAGAAUAAAUUUGAAUAAAAGAUUAAAUAAUUUAAUUUUGACAAAGAUUAAAUAAUUUAAUAGAUUUUUUUAUUGUAGGGGUAUCUUUGUACUUUUAUAAAUAAUCAACACUUCUCUCUCUUCUAUCUCUCUUUUCUCCCUUUUAUGCCAAACAACACAUCAAAUCUACUUCAUUUCUCACAUAUCUCUCUCUCUCUCUCUCUUCACAACUUCUCUUCCAAACUAAACAAACCCUUUAGUGUUUUUCUUCUAGUUCAAUAAAUAAAAGGCUUAAACGCACUUUUAACCCUCUAAGUUUGCAAAAGUUGUAAUUUUGGCACCCUAUUAAAAAAAUGGCAAAAGUGACCCCCCAUGUUUAUCCCAUUUUGCAAAACCUCAAUUUUGACUUAGUCAAAUUUAUGUGUCACGCCACAUCAGUUAAAAAAUCGCUACGUGUCUACUUUUUGAAUUUAAAAUAAAUGUAAAUACCACAAGUGUAUAUGUAGAAUUAAAAUAAUAAAAAAGAAUAAAAAAAUAAAAGGAAAGAAUUAAGGAGAGAAGCGCUUGGUUUUCUUCUCUUCUUCCUCUGUAACAUCAAACUCGGGUAAGAAAGGAAAAUUAAACCCAGAAAGCAACGUGAGUCUUCAUAUCUUCAUCUCCAUACUUCAUAGCAAUCUUCAUAUCUUCUAAUCCAACCCAGAAAGAAAGAAAAAAAAAAACGAAUCCUUCAUUUAUUAAUUGGAAAACUAAACAUGCAUACACUUUAACUCUCAUUUCUUUAGGACAGUAUCAAUAGUGAUGAUAAAAUAAAACCGUAGGUCUGUUGAAAAAUAGUGUAUUAGGUCAAAAUCACCCAAUUUCAUCUCCAACUAUACCUCCAGCACCAAUUUAUUAUCCAAGUGAAGAUGAAUUCAAAGAUCCAUUAGAAUUUAUUCACAAAAUCAGACACGAAGCCGUACCGUAUGGAAAUUGAUUUGGAGUUUUCAAAUUUUGAUUUUGAGAGAAAAAAUAGCCCAUUUUUUUUUAAUUUCCAAAAUUUUAAUUCACGUGCUCUUUUCUUCAAAAAACAUCACGUGCUCUUAUGUUUUUUUUUUGCUUUUUGAUUUAUAUUUAAUUUCAUUAAUUUAUAUCUGGCUUUUUUAUUUAAUUUUUAAUUGGAAAAAACACAUGUGGUGUGCCAUGUAGGCUUGAUCAAAUCAAAAUUAACGUUUUGCAAAAAGAGAUAAACAUGGGGUCACUUUUACCAUUUUUUUUAAUGGGGGUCAAAAUUACAACUUUUGCAAACUUAGGGAGUAAAUAGUACGUUUAAGCCUAAAUAAAAUGAUUACCUAAUUUUCAAACUCAACUGCCCUUCACUUGUAGUUAAGGUAUUCUGAUGAUUUUAGUUACAAAUACCUUAAAUACCAAGUGAUGGUUUGAAAUUGGGGGCUAAAUUUCACAAUCUCAAUAUUUGAGGUACUACGUAGGAGAAAUUUUGAAAAAAAUCAGACGACCCCUUCUUUGCACAAUGGAAAAAUAUUAAGGUCAUGAUAAUUUAUUUUUGAUAAUUUUUUGGUGAUGUAAUUUUCAUUUUGUGGUGUUUAAUCUUUAAUAAUGAAAGGUUGCGUUAACUUUUAAGUGGUUGAAGGUGAAGUUUCCUUUUCUUCCCUUCAAUUAUCAUGGUUGGUGGCUUAAUCCGUUUACUGUUUUAGGCAUUGGCUAUUUUCUGUUCUUUUUGGCUUGUUUUCUGGUGUUGGCUCUUGUCUUGUAUAUAUGUUUUGUUCUUUUGUUGUAACUUGCUGGGUUUUUAUUCAUUUGUACAUCUUGUGCUAGGAAGACCCUCGUGGUGUUAAUAUAUUUCAUUAAUUUUAGUUUCUUCAAAAAAAUAAUGAGAGGUUGCCAUAAUUUAGAAACCAAAUUGAAUCAAGUUUUAAAUAUUUUAAAUUUCCUUAAAUAUAUUGUUAUCAAUUUUUCAAGCCCAGUUUAGUUAGUAAGAUGCUUCAACUAUAUUCAUAGGGCUUCGAGUUCUAGUUAUGAAGGGGGAAAAUGGAGAACAUUGAUACUCUUUUAAAAAAACUUGCUCUAAUGAUUUUGUUAAGUACAAUGAAAAUAUUUAUUUAGUAAUUGAUAUUUUAUGUUUAACUCAUUGUUAGGGAUUAACAAAAUCUUGCAAGAAAGUUAGUAAAGCAAUUGAUGAGCAGCUAGAGGUGAUAUUAACAGAACAUGAACAAGCUGCUAAUGUAAACAAAACUCAUCAUAAAGAUUUUGUAGACAUACUUCUUUCAAUUAUGCACCAAACCAUUGAUGUCGAGGGUGAACAAAAUCUCGUCAUUGAUCGAACUAACAUCAAGGCUAUUUUGCUCGACAUGAUAGUGGCAGCAAUCGAUACAUCUGCUACCUCGAUUGAAUGGGCUUUAUCUGAACUUUUAAGACAUCCAAGAGUGAUGAAAAAGCUUCAAGAUGAGAUACAAAAUGAAGUAGGAAAUAAAAGAAAGAUUGAGGAGAAAGAUAUGAAGAAGUUGAAUUAUUUAGAUAUGGUGGUUGAUGAGACCUUAAGACUUUACCCUGUUGCACCAUUACUAGUCCCUCGUGAGUCUAGAGAGAGCACAAUAAUUGAUGGUUAUUUUAUAAAGGAAAAGACACGACUUAUAGUAAAUGCAUGGGCAAUAGGGAGAGAUCCUAAUGUUUGGUCAGAAAAUGCCGAAGAAUUUUAUCCAGAGAGAUUUAUUGAGAAAAACUGAAUUAUCUCGGACAAGAGUUUGAAUCUAUACCAUUUGGUUCUAGUCGUAGGCGUUGUCCUGGAAUUCAAUUGGGUUUAAUUACGAUUAAGUUGGUUAUAGCUCAAUUUGUGCAUUGCUUUAAUUGGGAACUUCCACAUAAUAUUAGUUCUUCUAGUUUGAAUAUGGAGGAAAAAUUUGGACUCACUAUACCAAGAACUCAACAUUUGCAUGCAAUACCAAGUUAUCGUUUGGAUGAUGCUAAACAUGAAUAGUUCUAAGUACAAUACUAUGUUGUGUUCAACAAGUUAAUUGCUAGUAAAAAUGCCAAGUAUGGUAGCUUAGUCCACUAAAGCUCUUGCAAACGGAAAGUUCGGAAAGGGGGUCUAACCAAUUAGUGUAUUAUAACGACCUUGGUACUUUCCAAAACAACAUUUAAUGAAGAAUCGGUUCCAGAAUCAGACAUGUGAGUUCAAUUGCACGAGAGGGGUGAAUUCGCCAAUGCCGGAAUUAGAAAUCUCCCUAAUUGAUUCAGCCCUAUGAAGCAUUCAAAAUUACCGUUAAAUCUCACCUGAUAUGCUCUCGUCCAUACGUAUCGAAGAAGUAUCCAAAUUUUUUAAUUAAAAAUAAAAAAUAAUUUUUUUUAACACGUCACAUAUACGUUGCGAUACGCUGCCAACACGUCUCUGAUACAUCUCAUGAUUGUUCAGUUUUUAGUUUUCCCCUAAUUACAUUCUAUCUUUACUAUGAUUAUGAUUGAUGCAUGUCAAUUAUAAUGUGGCAAAUUCUAUGGUACAUCCAAAAAUAUGAGUGUAUCGUUACAUCAAAUCGUUAAAUCAAUAAUUAAAUGAGUUGUUUUUUGAUUUUUUUAUUAUCAUUGAUAAUUAUAAUAAUUAAAUCUUAUUGAACAAAAACUUCGACGAAAUAAAAAAAAAUUGAAUUUUUAUUACUCAUAAUAAAGAAUAUUGAUGAUUUUUUAUGAGAAAAUGUUAAAAAUUUAAUAUGAUUCUUAUAAACAAUGAAAUGAUGUUUUUUCUUACGAAAUGAUGUUUUCUAAAAUAUAAAUAUGGACAAAUAUUUUUUUUAUUUCAUAAAAUGAUCGUUAAUUUAUAAAUUUAUAGAGCAAGAGUACCGGUAAACCUUAAUUUGUGAUGUGUACCGUAGAAGUUCCCUUAUAAUGUACCCAUUUAAUUUAUUAGAAUUUUCUAAGUUUUCUUUCUUUUUUCCAUAAUUAUUUUACGGUUGCAAAUUGAAAUCACAGCUAACUAAGAGUGCAUGUAAUAUGCCAAACUUACCAAUUCUAAACAAACAACUAUAGAGGAUAGAGUUCUGAGUUUAGUUUGAAAUUCAUCGCUUCGAUUGAGUUUGUGUUGUGAAUUUAGUUUAAAUUUUUUAACUAAUAUUUAUAACUUUAUUUUAAUUUUUAUAUUUGUAUGUUAAUUAAAUAUAUCAUAUCUUAUAUUUUUCAAUGACUGAAGUAUCGAUUUGUGUCGUAUCGGAUGCUCAUAUUGUGUCCAUGAUUAAUAGAUUCAACCAAACGACCAAUAACCAUACCCUUCAAAUUCUCUCUCCUACCGAGUUUUAAUUGAUGUUUACAACUUUAUUUUAAUUUUUAUAUGUGUAUGUUAAUUUUAUCGUAUCCUAUAUUUUUAAAUGACUGACAUAUCGAUACCCUUAAAAUUUUCUCUCCCACCCAUUUUUAGAAACAACCCACAACCAUGGUUUAUUGUCUUUAUCCUUUUGGAAGAAGUAUUUGUUAAAGCAUAUCACAAAAGAAAUGGAAGCAAGUUUUCUAAGUAAAGAUGAAGAUGUGCACCAUAGUCCUCCAUUACUUGCGACAAAAGCAAUUGAAGCUUAAGACAGUUUUAGACUUAGAAAUCAUGUUAUGACUACUUUGCUCAUGUUUAGGAAAGUUAGUUAUGAUACAGUGAGGUGAAGAUCACAGUAGUUUAUGCUGAUCUAUCACUGAAAUACCAUAAGUACAUGUAAUUGCUUCUAUUACAAGUUAAUGUGAAAUAAUGGUUCAUUGAACCAAUUCUUGAUUCUUUUAUUUGUUUUUAUCUCAUUUUUUUAUCAAUCUUUUGUUAUCUCAACAUUAUUUGUCUCGUGUGUUUGUAAGAGAACCCAUGGUGGCUGGUUUAUUACACGCUUGGAGGAGAAGGAGGUAGAAGGGGCAAUCCGCGCGCGUGUUUUUUUAGGGUUCUAGGUAGAAGUUGAUUUUUAAUUGAAGAAGCUUGAUAAAAUUGGUGUUUUAGAGUUUCCUAAGAAGAGGAGUGUAGCAGAAGUAACAAAAUUGAAAAGGGAGGAAGAUUAAAUCACCAAUGUAGCAUAUUUGUGUUUGUUGUUUUUUUUUUCUUUUUGCAUAAACAUGGCAAACAAAGACGAAGAAGAAAAAAAUACACAGGACAGAAGAAGAUUUUGGAAAUUGUUUUUAUUAAUGUUGUGAUGAAGAUUUAUGUAUGAAGAUUAAAAGAAAAGCAACAGUGAUCUGGGUUUCUCUUUAAACAUUCUAGAAAAAGGGGUUUUAAAUAAUUUUAUGUUUUUAAAAUUAAUGACUUUUUUUCUGCAGGAUUAAAAUUAAUGACUUGGUAACCAAUAUUCAUGUGGAAGUUUUUUUUUUUUUAAAGAAAUAUAAAUACACACUCAACUACGUAAUCCAUUGUACACAAUCAAAAAAUCUUAAAAUGGAAGAGGAAUCUCAAACUUUUCUUUUUUAAACCAAAAUUCGCUCGUGUAAACAUUAUUUGACCCUAAAAAUAAUGAAUAUUUAGACUUAAAUAUGCAAUUUAACCUUAGUUUUUUUUUUCGUCAUUCGAGUUUUUUUUUAUAAGCAAGAGAGAGGACAGGCAUCAAGAGACAUCAUCGACAUCCCAACUAGGUUGGCAUCUCAAGAGACCUCCAUCGUAUGCCGCCAAACUCAAAAGAUUUUAUUAAAAAAGGGGGAAAAAUAAUUACAAAAGGAGGGUGGACAAGACCAAAACUCUCAAAAUGAACGGAAAAGAAAAGCAACAGUGGAAACAACAAAACAGUCCAAAGAACAGAUCAAAGAAAUCUGUAAUUAGGAAAUCCACAAUAAAAAUUAGAAUUUGUGACAUAUAUAAAUUUUUAAAGCAAUCCAAGUAUCAAAGUUAUUGAUACCUCUAACAUUCCAAUGUGUGCCAAAUAUUGUAUUCAAAAAUUGUGAUCAACCAAUACUUUUUCAACAAGGAAUAGAUAAAUGGAGCACUCCUUGGUGGUAUGGUGACAUAUGUUGUAGCUUCUCUGUCCACAGAAAAACGUGUACACCAACUUGGAGUUCUUGAUAUCUUCAACCUCGUUACUUCAGCCAAACCAAAUCAUUCAUUGUGGUCAUGUCUUUUGCAGCAACAACUAUGCUCUAUUUCCUUCUCUUCACUUUCAUAUACCUUUUAUUCAAACUCUUCUUACAUCCAAAACAAAAUACCAUUAACCAUAAAAAGCCACCAGGUCCACCAACACUACCAAUAAUAGGAAACCUUCACAUGUUAGGUAAACUUCCACAUAGAACACUUCAAUCACUCUCCAAAAGAUAUGGUCCAAUCAUGUCCUUACAACUUGGUCAAGUUCCAACAAUUGUUAUUUCAUCUUCAAAAGGAGCAGAAUCAUUCCUCAAAACCCAUGACAUCGUUUUCGCAAGCCGACCGAAGAUUCAAGGAUCAGAGCUCAUGUCCUAUGGUUCUAAAGGGUUGCCUUUUUCUGAGUAUGGUCCUUAUUGGCGCAGUAUGAGGAAAUUUUGCACUUUGAAACUUCUUAGUGCUUCAAAAGUUGAGAAGUCGGGUCCUAUUAGAAAAGAGGAGUUGGGUGUUUUGGUUAACACUUUGAAGAAAGCUUCUUUGGUAGGUGAGGUUGUGAAUGUUAGUGAGAUUGUCGAGAAUCUUAUUGAGGAUAUUGUGUAUAAGAUGAUAUUGGGUAGAGGUAAGUAUGAGCAAUUUGACUUGAAGAAGAUGAUUAAAGAUGGAUUAACUUUGAUGGGAGCUUUUAAUCUGGCUGAUUAUGUUCCUUGGCUAGGCAUUUUUGACCUUCAGGUACAUUUGUACUAUUUAUUACUACUAUCUCGUUAAAUAUAAGAUCAUUUUGUGUUUUUUCUGUCGCUUUUUAUAAGAACCCUUUCAAAUUUUAAUGUAGAUUAAUUAUUUCUUUAUCAAUAUAUCCUUAUUUAUGUUGCAUAUUUUUAUACAAUAUAUAAUAAAUAUUCUACGAAAACAUCAGCUAAUUUCUUUCAUAAAGGAUAAAUAUGUAAAACAAUAUAAAUUGUAAACAAAAUUAAUUCAACAAUUAAUUUUCUUAAUUCCUGUGUUUUUCACGAAAUGGUUCUAUAAUUAAGGACGGAGGUAGUAUUUAUAAGAAAGAAAGAUAUUGAAUAUUAACAUACAUUUAUUUUAGUCUGAUGAUUUUGGCUUGGGAUCCGGGAGUAUGCACCUCCUCGAGGUCUCAGGUUCGACUCUCUCUGAUGCCAAUUUAAGUGGGUUAAUUUAACUUCUUCAAAAAAACAUAUGUUUAUUUUUAACACACUUAGAUUGGCCUGAUGGUAUUGGCUUGAGAUCCGGAAGUGUGCUGUUUCAUAAAUAGAGUGUUCUUCAAAACAAAACAAAAAACUCAUAAAUAGAGUGAUUGAGUGAUUUUGGUCACUCAAUAUUUAAUAGUUCGGUAUUGGUCCUUUAGUGUUUUUCCCUCUAUGGCUUUAAAAGGGUUACCUGAUUUUAUCUCAAUUGCCCUUCACUUUUAUAUAUGAAAUUGGAAACUGGGUCAAAUUUCACAAUAUCAAAAUAUUUUAGGUACUAGAAGUAAGAGAAAUUUGAAAACAAGUUAGAUAAUCCCUUUACUAUACACAAGGGAAAAUUGAAUUAACUCUACAAAAAAAAUGAGUUAACUCUUAAAUAUUUUCCAUUCGGUUAAAUAUUUCAGUUAUCCAUUUCAUCCUCAAUUUACUUAUGUUUUUACGGUUUUGUUAAUAACAACAAUCAAGUCUUAUCCGACUGAGUAAGAUCAACUAUAUAGAUCAAAUUACCCCAUAAUAGGUUAUCAUAAACGUGGGUUUGUUAAGUUCAAUGAAAAUAUUCAUGUAGUAACUGAUAUUAUUAGUUAACUUUUUGAUAGGGAUUAACACAAGCUUGCAAAAAAACCAGUAAAGCUCUUGAUGAAGUUUUGGAGAUGAUAAUAACAGAGCAUGAACAAACUACUAAUACAGACGAUCCUAAAGAUUUUGUAGACACAGUUCUUUCAAUUAUGCACCAAACCAUUGAUGUUGAGGGUGGACAAGAUCUCGUCAUUGAUCGAACGAUCAUCAAGGCUAUUUUGCUCGACAUGAUAGGGGCAUCAAUUGAUACAUCUUCAAACGUGAUAGAGUGGGCUUUAUCUGAACUUUUAAGGCAUCCAAGAGUGAUGAAAAUUCUUCAAGAUGAAAUACAAAAUGAAGUAGGAAAUAAGAGAAUGGUUGAAGAAAAGGAUUUGAAGAAUUUUAAUUACCUAGAUAUGGUGGUUGAUGAAACCUUAAGACUUUAUCCUGUUGCACCUUUAUUAAUCCCUCGUGAAUGUAGAGAGAACAUAACAAUUGAUGAUUAUUCUAUAAAAGAAAAGACACGAGUUAUAGUAAAUGCAUGGGCAAUUGGGAGAGAUCCUGAUGUUUGGUCAGAAAAUGCUGAAGAAUUUUACCCAGAGAGAUUUAUUGAGAAAAAAAUGAAUUAUCUCGGACAAGAGUUUGAAUCUAUACCAUUUGGUUCUGGUCGUAGACGUUGUCCUGGAAUUCAAUUGGGUAUGAUUACGGUUAAGUUGGUUAUAGCUCAAUUCGUGCAUUGCUUUAACUGGGAACUUCCACAUAAUAUUAGUCCUUCCAAUUUGAAUAUGGAGGAGAAAUUUGGACUCACUAUACCAAGAGCUCAGCAUUUGCACGCAAUACCAAGUUAUCGUUUGGAUGAUGCUAAGCUUGAAUAGUUCCAAGAAUAAUUACUAUGUUCGUGUUCAUCAAGUAUAUAAUUGGUAAAGAUGCUUAGGAGGUCUAUUAAUGAUGUUUUAAUGUAUAUUGCUUGUUCUUUAUAUAUGUUUGAUAGCCAACAUUUGAGUCUUCAUUGGGACAUGGAGGUCAAUAAAAUCACAUACCUUCAUGAUCAAUGGUAUGGUGCAAGUCUAUAGUACAAAUCUCCUUCAUCUCUACCCUAUCUCUUUCUUUUACUCAGUAUUUGUUUCAAUUCUCUGUUAUUAUUAUUACUAGGGUUGUUCGCGGUGCGGUUUGGUUCGGUUUCAAGCAUAAUAAUAAUCCAAACCGCGAGAGAAAAAAGCAUGCGGUUUGGUUUGGUUCGGUUGUUUUUUAAAAAGUCAUCCAAACCAAACCAAUGCGGUUUGGAUUGGUUCAGUUGAUGCGGUUAAUCACGAGAUAAAUAAAAAAAUUACAUUAACUUAAUAUUGCCAACUAGUACCAAGCAAUUUUAAUUAUUCAAAAAAAGAAUUUGAAGUUCCAAAAUAGCAUUACAAUACCAAUAAAAGUUAUUUAUCUAAAAUAACAUUACAGAACCAAAAUAAUAGCUGGAUAGUGUUGGGCUUGGACUUGGGUUCACUUUGGUAUUGGGCUAGUACAAUACUUACUUAGUUUAAUAACAUUGAGUAUUUUUGCGGUUUGGUUUGGUUUGGUUCGGUUGCUGAGAUGUAAACCGCAAACCGAACCGAACCGCGCGGUUCAGUCUAAAAAUCAUCCGAACUCAUCCGAACCAAGUGCGGUUUUUUGCGGUUUCAGUUUGGGUUGGUUCGGUUUGCGGUUUUUCUAUUGGGUUGGUUCGGUUUUGAACACCCCUAAUUAUUACUGAUUUUAAAAUUGGUAUGGCACACUUUAGAAAUGAGGUAGACCUGAAGUUCUAAAGUUUUUUUAACACAACAUAUCACACAUGACAACUUAAUAACUAGAAUACUGCUCCAUUAAGAUUGGAGAACAACAUAUAAAAGAUGUAAAUACUUAUUAUUCCUCUAUGGUUUUCCACAAUGUACAUGUAUAAUAUACUGCACAUUAACUAUUAUUUGAUUCAAAAAGUAUUAAAGUAUGUUUAUAUUUUUAUUUGUAUUAUGUAUUGAUAUCAAAAUAAUGAAUAUCAUUCAAAAAAAAAAAAAAAAUCAAAAUAAUGAAUAUGGGUGGCAUUUAGGGUGGGAAGGGGAAAGAUUUUCCCACCAUAGGUCAGUUGACAUUUUACCGUUAAAUUAAAAAGGAAUACUGAUUUUAUUAUGGACUGUCUACACCCUAUCUUUUCCCACCCACCUUUCUCUCUCCUCCUUGCUCUCCACCACCCGCAACAUCACCUACAGCCACUAUCACCACCGGUUCCUUCCAUUCUCGUCCAAAGCAAGCUUCAGAUCCGACGCACCUAGCUCAAUCUCUCUUUUCCAGUUUCUCUUAAUCAUUCAAUCGCCCCAUUUAUAUCCCCCCUUCGUAAAAAAUUCCAUGAUGUGAUAAUCCAAAUAUGGGCUAUAAUAUUACUGUAAUAUUUAUUGUUUGCUACUUAAUUUUAGUUCAAUGGGUCACUACAUAUAUAUUAAUUAUCGAUUCUUACAGGUUUGAUUGAAGCCUAUGAAGAUUGAUUUUUAACUUUUUUUAGAUUGCAACUCAUGAAGAUUGAUUUUGAUAAUUGGUUCCAUAAAAAGCAUGUUUCUUAAUUGUAAGCACGUGAAGAUUUUUGGGUUGUAGUUUCAUGGUGGCUGGUGGUGGUGGGUGAGUGGGGGUAUGGAGGAGAGAGAAGAAUGGUGAGGUGAGUGAGGUUGGAGACAGAUUGAAAAAAUAUAGUGUGGGUAGACCAUAGUAUGAUUAGUGUUCCUAUUUGAUCUAAUGGUCAAAAUCAACUUUUUUAUGGUAGGAAACUCUUUCCCUUACCCACCCUAAAUGCCACCAUGAAUAUGAGAGAGUUUUGUGUAACUUUUUUGCAUGUGUUGUUUUCUGACUCUAGAUUUGGAUAACAAAACAAUCAAGUCUUUUGUUCUCUUUCUCUAUUAUAGAUCUACUUUCUCUCUCUCUCUAUGAUUCCCGUGCUAUACUAGAUCUGACAACUGAACUCUUGCGACUCAAUAAUUUCUUUCUUCAAUAUGAACUUUAAGACCAAAUUUAGUUUCUAAAUCUUAAAAAAUUUAAUCAUAAACAAUAACAUUUUAGUACAUAAAUUAAUUUCCAAAACCUGAUCUUUCUCCUGUAGACCAAAUAUAUUGUCUAUCCUGUUUCAUGUUUGUAAAUUGUAACAAGUUAAUUUUUUUUUUUUUAAGUUGUAACAUUCUAGUCAAAUACCUCACUGGAUCUUCUAAGUUUUACGUUUGUUUCAGAUAGGUCCUUUAAGUUUUUAAGGUUUUAGAUAUGUCAUUUAAGUUUCGAGUUUGUUUCAGAUAUGUCUUUUAAGUUUCUAAGGUUUCAGAUAGGUCCUUUAAAUUUCGAAUUUAUUUCAGAUAGAUCAUUUCUAUCGAAUCAACUUUAAAAAAUUAACUUAUUAUAAACAACCAACUUAAAAAUCGCUAGAAGUAUUUGACCUUUCCAUAACCAAAAUCUAAAAAACAAAUGUGGUAUUUUUCCUAUAAGACCACUUUCAAAAUCACUCAUGCUGCUGUAUUACUCGAGAUAAGAUUUAAAUUGCAAAUGUAAAUAUUAAAAAGAGGGUUAAUUAAAUUUUUAGUCCCUUUUUUUUUUUUAAAAAAAAAAAAGAAUUUUUAGUCUCUAUAAAUAUUCACAGUUUUGUUUUUAGUCUAUACAAAAUAAAAUCACACUUUUUAGUCAAUGUGACAUUUUAAGGACUAAAAAUGCUGAUGAAAUUUUUUUAUAUAGACGAAAAAUGCUAAUGAAAAAUUUUAUAGAGACUAAAAAUAUUGAUGGAAAAUUUUAUAGGGACUAAAAAAUGUGAUUUUACUUUGUAGGGACUAAAAACAAAAUUAUGAAUAUUUAUAAGGACCAUUUACUUAUUAACCCUUAAAAAGAUGAAUGUUAUUUGAACAACCGUUUGGUUGACAACUUUUGGAACAACUAUAAUUUACAAAGAAAAAGUAGGUAUGUGAACGAAAACCAUAGUAGAAAGAUAAAGUAAAGAAUAACGUAAGUAUGAUUGAGAAAGUUGUCAAAAAAAUUAUUAAAAAAUGGAUGUUCUAAUAUCAUUCCUCUAUUAAAAAACGUUACUAUUUGAUCACAUUAUUAGUAAGUUAUCUUGCUCAGCUAGUAAAUUAUUAUACCGAUGGAGUUUUCACGGUGAAUCAAAUUACACAGUGCUUUGAAAACGAGGAGGAUAACAUCCUUCUUUUACUUUUUAAAUUGACAAGCAUGCACAACGAGAUGGAUAAAAGAAUAUUAAAAUAAUGGUAAAUCAUAUCCAACGUGUGCAUGUACAUUGUCGGUUGUAACAAAUCGACGUUCAUAAAAUGUACGUGCAUAGUUGAUCAUUUAAAAAAAAAAAAAUAUUUGAAUGAUGUUUUUCAUAUUUGCAAUUAGGUGUCAUUUAAAAAUUAGUUCAUAUAAUUGCUAAUCCUGACAAUUUACAUUUGCAUUAUUUAAUCAUUUAAAAUUUUAUCUUUUGACCAACUUAAUCACAAAUUAGCAAAAUGAUACGGAAAUGGACAAAUAUACCCUCGUCGUUAUUAUGAGAAGAAGACUAAGACAAGGGUAGAAAUACAUAAAUAUCUCCAUAAAUAUCUCACUAGCUAGAUAUACAAACCAAACACGUACACCACCGGUUUCAAGAUAAUCUGAGAUUAACUUGGAGUUCUAUAUAGUCUUCAACCUUGUUACGUACUUCAGCCAAACCAAAGCAUUCAUUGUAGACAUGUCUUUUGCACUAACAACAACAAUGUUUGCUUUUCUUCUCUUCACUUUCAUGUACUUUCUAUUCAAACUCUACUUACAUCCAAAACAAAAAACCCUAAACCAUAAAAAACCACCAGGUCCAUCAACACUACCAAUAAUUGGAAAUCUUCACAUAUUAGGCAAACUUCCACAUAGAACACUUCAAUCACUCUCCAAAAAAUAUGGUCCAAUCAUGUCCUUACAACUUGGUCAAGUUCCAACUAUUAUCAUUUCAUCUUCAAAAGCUGCAGAAUCAUUCCUCAAAACUCAUGACAUCGUUUUUGCAAGUCGACCAAAGGUUCAAGGAUCAGAUCUCAUGUCUUAUGGUUCCAAAGGGAUGGCUUUUUCUGAGUAUGGUCCUUAUUGGCGUAGUGUGAGGAAAUUUUGCACUUUGAAACUUUUUAGUGCUUCAAAAGUUGAGAUGUUUGGUCCUAUUAGGAAGGAGAAGUUGGAUGUUUUGGUUAUAUCUUUGGAGAAAGCUGCCUUGGAGGGUGAGGUUGUGAAUGUUAGUGAGGUUGUAGAGAAUCUUAUUGAGGAUAUUGUGUAUAAGAUGAUGUUUGGUCGGAGUAAGUAUGAGCAAUUUGACAUGAAUAAGUUAGUUCUAGAAGCAAUGGCUUUGAUGGGAGCUUUUAAUCUGGCUGAUUAUGUACCUUGGCUAGGCGUUUUUGACCUUCAGGUACGUCUUGACAAUUUCAUAUUAAAAAUUCUAAUUAAUUUUAUGAGAUUAUUUGAUUAUAUGGAAAAGAGGUUAACAUUGGCGCAACUGAUAAAUUUGUUGUCAUGUGACUGAAAGGUCAUAGAUUCAAGUCCGGAAAACAACCUCUUAUAUAAACAACAGGGUAAGGCUGUGUACAUUACACUAAAUGGUGGGACCCCUUCCCGGGGCCUAUGUAUGCGGGAGCUUUAGUGCACCGGGUUGCCUUUUAUUUGAUGAUAUGGAAAAAAGAAAAAUAUUUAUAGUUUAUUGAUAUUUAAUUGGUGGUUAAGACUUGAGAGUAUCUUUGUGUUGAUUUUUUAUAAUUUUUAUAAAGAUGUAUCUUUGUGUUGAUAUCGCUAUAUAAGAAAGAAAAAGAUUGAAUAUUGUGCGUUGUGUUUGAAUGGAGGGUUUAAGAAGAAAAGGGAGGAGAAGAUUUACUUUUUUUUUUUUUUUAAAUUAGUAACACUAAAAUGUUUUUCAAAAAUUGAAAUAACAUGUGAUUUUUCCUCUAUGGCAAUAAAUUGGGUUACCUGAUUUUAUUUCAAUUGCCCUUCACUUUUAAUUAAACUUCUUCAGAUUCUUUCUCAUGUAACCAAAAUAAAUAGAUAGUAAAUAAAUAAAUCAGCUAUCGAUUUCAUACUCAAUUUACAUAUGCUUUUGUUAAGUUCAGUGAAAAUAUUCAUGUAGUAGCUGAUAUCAAUUAUAAGUUUAAUUUUUUGUUAGGGAUUAACACGAGCUUGCAAAAAAACCAGUAAAGCCCUCGAUGAGGUUUUGGAGAUGAUAAUAACAGAGCACGAACAGACUACUAAUACUGACAAAACUCGUAAUGAAGACUUUGUAGACAUACUUCUUUCAAUUAUGCACCAAACCAUUGAUGUCGAGGGUGAACAAAAUCUCGUCAUUGAUCGAACUAACAUCAAGGCUAUUUUGCUCGACAUGAUAGCGGCAUCAGUUCAUACAUCUGCUACCACGAUUGAGUGGGCUUUAUCUGAACUUCUAAGGCAUUCAAGAGUGAUGAAAAUUCUUCAAGAUGAGAUACAAAAUGAAGUAGGAAAUAAAAGAAUGGUUGAAGAGAAGGAUCUGAAGAAGUUUAAUUACUUAGAUAUGGUUGUUGAUGAAACCUUAAGACUUUAUCCUGUUGGACCCUUAUUAAUCCCUCGUGAAUGUAGAGAGAGCAUAACAAUUGAUGGAUAUUUUAUAACGAAAAAGACUCGAGUUAUAGUAAAUGCAUGGGCUAUUGGGAGAGAUUGUAACGUUUGGUCAGAAAAUGCUGAUGAAUUUUACCCAGAGAGAUUUAUUGACAAGAAAAUGAAUUAUCAAGGACAUGAGUUUGAAUC